AGUUUAUUUGGUCCUGUUUGGCUCCAUUCGCAUUAACCUUUUUCUUUUCUGCUUCUUGCUGAGAGUGUCUCUUUCCACUAACACUCAGAUUACUUUCGUUGAAGUAUUCUAUGUCCCCUUCACUGCUUCCUCCAAUCAGACUUUCACGCACCUCACUUCCAAUGUCAGCAGCAUCACUACUUAUACCAACACCAAUUGACCUGACUGAACCGUGCUGAUCAUCCUCAACAAAAGGGUCAUCAGGAUGAGGUCGUGCAGAAUCAUUAAGGAAUUUCCCAUUUCCUAACAUGCCUAGUUCACUAUUCUGUGACACAAAACCCUGCCAUACUGGUUCAGAAUGCAUCAAAUUUAGUUCUUCUGAAUCCAAAAGUUGACCAUCAUACUGGGCUAUCAUAUCAUUAUCAGGAAUCCCAUGUCCUAUUGGCCGCUCCGAAGUACCUAUCGGUGCGAUGUUUUUCCCAUGAAAAUACUGCUCACCAGAUAUGUAAGAAUCUUCUUCAACAAAUGAUUGGUCAUCGUCAUCAUCCUUUGUAGGACGAUCAUGUCGAUCAGCACCACUUGUGUGACCAGUUGGCUUCUCAUUGUCACUAGGAUAGUCAAUCUCAUGUGCAAGAAACCAAGUUUCAUCCUCAAUUGGUUGUCGGGUGUAGCCAACAUCGUCGUCAUCGUCAUACUCAUCAGAGUCCCAAUACUCAUUUGGAUACUCAAGCAAAUCAUCACCAAGUGUGUCAAAAACCAUGUCAGGAGUAUCCUCUGCAAUGCCUUGGCUGACGGAUAACCAACUACUGCCAACCAUGCGUCUUCCACCUGAAUGUGUUAACAUGUAGGUCAAGUGUUAAAUGCGAAAAGAUUAGCCAAACUCAGAUAAGUGAACAUACAGUAGAGCACUAUAGCAGCUCUGAAGCAUGGGAAAACACUCCUAUAUAGUUUCAGUAUUUUCUUCCUAGAGCAAGAAACAUUUCACUGUUGCAAAUUUGAAUAUCCAUACUAUCAAACAUGAAAUUUUCCUGGGUUCUCUUUUAGCUCGCAUAAGAUCUACAGGAAAAUGUGAAAUGAGCGGUACAUAUCCCUUUACAAGAGCAUAUGCUCUAAAAGACAAGUGCCCUUCAAAUGCAAAGAAAAAGACGUACCAUCGAAGAUUCAAUUUGCCUACUGAUACUACCAAAGAUCAAAGUUUCCAGAAAACUUGAGUUUUGAAUUUUAAAAAUCUCACAUAAGAUCAACAAGCAAAUGGGAAAUGGCCACUAAAUAUUCCUUUGGGAAAAAGAAGGAACAGAACACAAUUAUAAAAGUAUGGCAUAUGAGAGUGCUGCCAAAAUAUAUAAAAGAUCAUAUGCUUUAAAGGCAAGUGUCCUUGAAAUGUAAAAAGGUCUCUCAUUUGGCUCAUGUGAUAAUGCCGUCAAACUAUGCAUGAUUACUGAAGGAUCAGACAAAGAUGCAUGUAACUGUGUGUAUGUAGUAUGUAGCAUAGCAAGGAUACAAGCUAAUAUGUCUGUCUAGAAACUUCAACAAAAGCAGAGUUUUGUCAGAAAAUGUGAUUUUUAUUUUGUCACGAAAAACUCUCCACACAAGAACUCUAACAAAUAACCUGCUUCAGCUGAUGUCCUUGUUCUCUAUCAAAGGCAUAUACAGUACAAAUCAUGUUAUCUCAAGCAUGCUGUCCUACAGAACCAAGAUGACAAUCCUGGUGAUUUGGUCUGGACAACUUCUAGGUCAAGGAGAGUUGUUAUUCGCUCAAUAGACAAUUAGAAGGAUAAACAAACAAGUUUGGCACAAACCGACAUAAAAUAAAGCUGCAGAGUUCACAAAAGGGGACAACGGCAAUGACUCUAGAACAAUUAAUUCCCAAGAAGCGAAGUGGACAAUUGUUACAAGUUCAUUAGAACUGUAAACAAAACCAUUCAAGUAGUAAGAGACUUCACAAUUUCUAUUGUCAUAUGCUCAUGUUCAACACAAAGAAAAAUGGAAUAAAUAUCUCGAACUAGUGCCUGUAUAGUCAUCUUCCUAAUUGUGAUGCUGUAAUGUGCACAAUUUUUCUACAAAUCUUUGUAAUGUUCAGUUGUUCACACAAAGAAGGGCCAAAUGUACUGAAUUAUCUAAAAGUUGCAGUUUCCUGUGGUGGGUAUGAGCUACACAGUCGCAGUUCUGUAGAUAAAAAUAUAGUAGGUUUUGUAAAUAUGUACACAGAGCAAUCUGCUGUGCGGCUCAAGAGUAAGGUAGAAUCAACUUGCAGCUACUGUUGUAACUAAAAGAUGAUCAUGUUGCCAUGUCACUAUCAAAUUGUAAACAACAUACCUGAUGAUGUAAUGUCCUGCCCAAUGGGAACAUUAAGAUAAGACCCAAUCAUAAAGACAUGGUCAGUACUAGGGUCGUUGGAUCCAGAUCCAUGAUGAUCGAUCUUCUCCUCCCAGUUCAUAUUAACAAGCUUAUCCUCGGACUUGAGCCGCACAGGAGGCAACUUCGGAAACUCUUCGCGUUGGCUAUUUCCCAUAAGCUGCAGGUCGAAGCAACGGUCAGCAACGUGAUCCACAUUACUCUGGGACUUCCCCGAGUAAUACUGCCUGUUCCCCUCAUCAGGUUGCCUCUUUGCUGCUUUUCCCGAACCAUCGGCAUUGACGCUCUUCUUCGUAUCUUUCCUCUCAUUUCCAUCCUGGUGAGUACUAUGAUAACUAGACGACGGGAUUUCUGUAGGAAACGGAAGCACCGUCUUGACUGCAUAGCCAUUCAAGGGCUCCUCCUUUUCUGGGACCAGAUUCUUGUCACUCGAAUGGCCUGGUUCACUGACUUCACUUCUCCCUGCGGUGUCAACUUUGCCCUUCCCUCUUCCAAACGAGACCUUCUGCUCCAGCACCGGAACAGGCUGCUCGGUUCCAACACCCCGGUCCCUCUUCUCAGUUAACGAUGUGCGGCGAUGCCUUGGCACUUCCUCAGACACCAGAAGCUCGGCCAGCUGCUCCACGGUGCUGUUGGCAAUGCUGAAGUUCCACGGGUACAGAUCCCCUGUGUUGGUGUUCUCCAGAGGCAGGCCAAUCCCGAGCCCCUUCUUCCCAUCAGAUCCAUUUGCCAGGCCUCCGACGUCAAUCUCCUUGACAAUGAACUCCCUGGACGAGUCGGCGCUUCUCACGGAAGAAGCGGCGCCUCUCGGCCCCGCGGCGGAGCCCGCCUCAGAGCCUUCCCGCUCGUCCUCCUCCUUGGGCGAGGGCGAGGGCGCACGCCUAUGCGUCUGCCCGUUGGUGGUGGCGCUGAGCUCCCCGCGGAGGGCGGCCUCGGCCUUGGCGAACCGGUUCUUCUUGAGGAACUCCAGCACCAGAUCGAUGUUCUCCGCCAUGGUUCCCUCCAAUAUCAGCAGCGAGACCUGGCGGAAUGCUUGGCGGGAGGCGCCGUCAAGCUAAAAGGCCGCGCUUUGCAGAGCCCGGACCCGGCCGAAUCGAAGCUUCGAGCCCCCGGGGACUUGCGGGGCCACAGAAUGCGCCGCCCCGCCGCCGAAAGCCUCGCGAAUCGAGCCCCGGAGCUCCCCGGAGCCGCGCUUCCGCGGCAGCAAGAAGAAGAGCGAGAGCCAAUCCCUAGGGCGAAGCGGAACCGCGGGCGCCGCUCCGCAGAGCGAGCGAGUGAGUGAGGAAGCACGAAUCCGCGGGAGCCCGGCGGCGCUCGAGUCGCGGGAGGAAAACCCUAGCCGUCCCCUGGACCCCAGCCUCAACCCCGUCCGGGUCGGGCGCGAGCGGGGAGGAGUGGCCGGGCAGGGCGGGGCGGAGGAGGAAGGGAGGGAGGGGCCAGGGAGCGGGAGGCGGGGCCGGGCGGUCAGCGCGGGGCGGCGCGGGGCAGAUCGAGGGCGGGGCGGCGGGGCGGCGGCGCGGGGGGCAUUGGGGAUCAGGGGGCGGCCGGCGUGGCUGGGGACAGCAUAUUCGCAGUGGUGGUGGUGUGGCGAGAAGCGAAAAGAAAGAAAUGGUUUUUUUCCUCGGCCCGUUCCGGCUGCGGUGUGUGGUUUGCGGCCCGGGGUGGGGAUCGAAAUCGAAUCGAUGGGGAACGGGGAAUCGAGGAGGGAUUUGUGGGGAGAUGAUGAUAAUAAAUCCUUUUCCUUUUCUCUUGGGCGAUUGGGCGGCCGUUCAAAAUCGGUCCCUCCUGCGUUCCGUGUGGCGGCUGUGACCGUUCGGCGCUUUCAUUGGUCUCGCGGGGAUGGAUUGAUGGAUUGCCCUAAGCAAAAGGUAUCCCAGGUAUCUCGCUGUAAAGUGCAUCUUGAUACUCUGGACUCUGGACUAGUAGUAUAGAGGUUACGAAAUGUGCGGCUUUUUAUUUCCGGCUAUGUGUAAAGUGAAGAAGAAUGUGCGCCUUCAUUGAGAUCCCAUGCAACGUUCUCUAUGUGAAACACAUGAAAAGGGCUGCGUAGAAAUACAAGCCCUUCCAUGAAUGGGACUUUUGUCCGCGUCUAUAUAAUUUGCAUCUGAUGCAUUGUGACUCCGCGUAAAAGUUCCAUGGGGAAAAUAGACCGUGGGAAAGUGAAAAUGGGAGCUCUUUUGGGCAGAAAAUAUCGUGAAUGCCCGGGUUUUUCUUUUUUUGCAUCAGAGGGAUUUGUGUCUACUAUGUUAGGAUUUCACAUAAAGCUCUAUGGAGAGAAAAUUAAAUCCUCCUCGGAAAAAAAAAAGUCGAGACACCAAAAAAGAGAAAUUAAAACCCUUUCGCAAUACGUAGAAAGUAUCGUGGACGGCGGAUUCCAUGGCUUGGCUAGGCAAGUCAUGUUCGGUGGGGUUGAGUGGCGUCACCACGCUAUUUGUUUCUAUCCAGACUCCAUGCGAUACUUGUGAAGCCACCUCCACUGUCGCACCCUCUCCCUUCUGUCGACGGACAUUCUAGCAUGUGUGUAGGGGGUGAUGACCGCACGCUUUGCUCUGUGAAUGAGCAUCCCUUUUUUGUCGCACCCUCUCCGUUUUGUCGACGGACAUUCUAGUAUGCGUGUAAGGGGUGGUGACUGCAUGCUUUGCUUUGUGAAAUGAGCAUCCCUCUUUUGUCGCACCCUCUUCCUUUUGUCGAUGUAGAUCUAGCCUAUGAGAAAGUUGUGAAACAUGGUGACAAAGCAUCAUGAUACUAUAAGUGGUGCCUUCUGUCGGGUCACGAUAGGUGUGAUGAAGUUGUUAGUGUCGAGGGGCGGGAGGGAUGAUGACCGCACGCUUAGCUUCGUGAAUGAUCAUCGCUUUUUUGCGGCACCUUGUUUUUCCUGAUGGGCAUUUUCCUUAAGCCCUCAUCAUUUUCCUUUUUUUUUGGCGAGGACCUUAAUGUUUUUCUUAAGCCCUUAAAGUUUUCCUUUUUUUGCGAGGACCUUAAUGUUUUCCUUAAAAGAGAGAAAGAAACCGGUGGAGUGUGGUGUAGAAGAGAAUAACAUUAGGGAAAUGAUUCGAAUCACCCGACUGAUAAUGACACAUGCGUCUGUCGCCUCUGUGGCCGCCUGGUCUGAUUUUAAUCAGAUGGCUCGGGAGCAUCGUAUUACCUAUACUAGAUUUUGCAACUGAGCCAUGGUUGCAAUCUCCCCCCACCGCAACAUCUGUUGUGUUGCGGGAUCUGGAUUCCAUUGUGAGCAGUCGCCUCACAUGCUCCCGAGCUCCCCAUCAAGUUGACGCCUCCAUACGCGGCCCUGGUUGCCGCCACCGUUGCUCGCCGCCAGCAGAACGCGGACGAGGCCGCCGGCGGCACGCUGAUGAGGUCGCCUGCAGGCACGAGGAGUCACCUCUCAUGCUCCUCCCGAGCUCCCCGUCAAGCUGACGCCUCCAUGCGCUACCCCGACCGCAGCAACCGUUGCUCGAUGCCGGCAGAAUGCGGACGAGGCUGCCGGCAGCACGCUAGUGAAGUCGUCUGCAAGCACGAGGAGUCACCUCUCAUGCUCCUCCCUAGCUUCCCAUCAAGCUGACGCUUGCCUGCGCUUCUCCAACCGGCGCCAACGGCAAGCACGCUGAUGAGGUCGCCGACAAGCACGUCGACAUGCAUGCUGCGUUCUACAUAGUGUGUUGAGAGAGAGAGAGAGAGAGAGAAAGAGAUAGAGAGAGAUGGAGAUGAGAGAGGAGGAGGGAGAGGAAGAGGAAGGUGCAGCGGCGUGCUUCUCCGGCAGUUUUUUUUGGAAAGGAGGGAAGCCCCGACCUCUACAUCAAUCGAUGCAUGCAGCCAUAUUAUUAAAAAAUCGCCGGCAGACGUGGCAACAUUUUUCAACACGUCGUUUGUUGCAAAAGGUUUUCUACAGCACGAGCUUUGUUGCAAAGUUUACGGUAGAAAACGCCGGUGUCUUUCUGCACCAAGGGUCCUAUGUGUAGCCUCGAAAAAAAGGUUUUGCAACAAGGGUCUGUGUGCUGUUGCAAUGAUGAAAAUCAAGAUGAGCAGAUGCAACGACUCAUGAAGCGGACGAUGUUUUAAAAAGAAAACACCGGCCGACGCGUAGUAACCCCAAAAUUAUGUGAAGACUCUCUUUCUUUUUGUGGUCCUAGAUAUAUAUUUAAAAUAGGUGUGUUCAUAUUUAAAAAAAGGCUGUCCGGACGUCCUACCUGUUGUUCGUUGAGCGAUGCGUCUAGUCAAAGCAUCGUGUUGGACAGUCCUGCAUAUCGUUAGGGACAACGGUAACGGUUGAACUGUCCCAUUUCUUCUGCAAAGUGAUGGCAGGAGAGACUACAUAUUUUCUGCUGCCCACUGUUACGUAGCACUUGUUCUUCCUGGCUGGACUAGGUGUACCGGCCACAAUCAAAUCAAAUAUAAAAUCAAUGCAGGAUAGAUGAGAUGAGACCAAAGCCGGGGCAUCGUCCUGCGCCACAAAUCGGUACGCGCUUACCGGACUUUAACGGCAACACGAGAAAUAAAAGCCAGAUAGCAAAGUAGUAGUAGUACUCUCUGAUCGUACUCUAAAAAAUUCUUAACUCCUCGUGUUGACAUUUUUUGGGACUUAUUAAACAUCAGCUAACUUAACCCUCAAACUCAGAACUCCUCAGAGAUUUAAGAAGUUGAGCCUCGAAAUAUUUUCUUUCUUUCUUUCUUCUUCUUCUUCUUCUUCUGCUCAAAUUUGAUCAGGAAACAUUCAUUCUCCACAAAUCUCCUACGUACUUCUCCCAUUCGAAAAAAUGGCACAAUCAUCCACGCACCGCCCGAUUGACCUCCCCACAAUUAUAAAUUCCCACCUGUGCCCUUGACAUCCCAAACCUUAGCUCUUUCCCGCGGUCUCCUAUUUUUCCAAAUCGUGUCGGAAGAGGGUCCGGGAUAUUCACGCCGAUCAAUCUACCAAGGCCGCGCCCCUGACAUCACCAUGUUGAGGCUGCUUCCGACCCACCGGUUCGCCUACUCAUGCCAGCACCUCCACCCGCCAUCGUGUCGGUCAAUUCUCCAAGCUCUAACGAUGUUAACGACGUGGAGGAGGCCGCUAGAGCUGAAUCGCUAGAAGAAGAGGGGGAGCAGCCCCACGCCUGCGUGAUGGUGCAUGACCGCAACGUCCUGGUGCCCCUCCAAACGUGCACUGGGGGGGGGGGGUUGGAGCACGUCGAUGCUGCGGUCCUCGUGGUCCUCCUAGCAAACCCUGCGGGUGGUGGUGGAGCAGCGGCGUCGAGCGUCGGGCAUCUUUUUCAUCCCGAGUGUCACUAAGCGUCGGGCAUCCUGAGUGUCGCCGAGGGUGGGGCAUCUCGAGUGUCACCAAGUGUUGGGCAUCCUGUGCAUUACAAGUGUCGCCGAGCGCCGGGAAUUCUGUGCAUCUCGAGUGUCGCCGAGCGUCGUGCAUCUGGUUUCCGCGAACCUUGUGACACCGCCGCCGUAGAACCGGUGCCGAAGAUACCCGGGGGCACCCACGACGGCAGAGGCAUCGGGCUCUGGAACAACGCCGGUCAUCUACAACCUCUUCGACAAGGAGGAGUAGCUCGUUUAGCGUGUUGUUAGCUCUAAUUAGGUUGUUUUCAUCAAUAAUUAAUGUUCUAGCUAGCUUAAUUUUAGAAGUAUGAUAUUUAAUUAUGAACCAUUAUGUAUAAUUAUGCACUAUGUGGUCUAAUGAAUUUUCCGAGUUUGAAAUGAUUUUGUGCACAAUUUUGAUUUUGAGGAGUUAAGUUUGGUGGUUCUGUUAGCUCCACAUUUUUUAUCUCCUGAUUAUUUGAGGAAUUAAUGUUAAUUUUGUUUUUCUGUUAGCACCACACUUUUCUUAACUAAUUAUUUGAGAGUUAUUAAGGCUUAAAACUAUAGCAGAGUCGUCUUUCCUCUUCCUCAAGAAAAGUCUCCUUCCCCCUUCCAUCAGCGCCGCUGCCGAUCCGCCCCACCUCCGAUGGCCUUUCGGCCCUGGUGGUGUGGAGGAUCUUAGCACCCGCCGGCGGGAGGGACCCCAUUCUCGUUUUUGUUAGGUUGGGGCUAUGUGGCGGUGACGAUGUCCCUCGGUAGGAAUAAUGUCUCCCACGUCCUAUCCUCGUCCCGAUGGUGCGAGAGGAUGUGUCUCCAUCGGAUCUCGUGGGAUUCGGUCGGUGCUGGUCUUCAGUGGAUCUAUUUGGACCAUUUUUUUCGUCUUUGUUCGUGUGGUUACAGGUCUGAUCUUUCUGAUAUACAAAUCUCUUCAUCGGCGAUGGUUGUAGCUCUGAUGCGCUGGCCCUUUGGGGCCUUGGCACGACGACUUUCCGACUGUCUACUACGACAAUGUUUGCCCGACUCCAGUGAGAGAGGGGCAAUGACGACGACGCGCCAUCGGCUCGCUCCAGUGCUUGUAGUCGACUCUAAACCCGGGCAAACGUCGGGCCGGGCCGGGCUUAUAAAGGCCCGACCUUCAUUUUUCAAGCCCGAGCCGGGCCCGAAGCCCGAAAUACUCCUUGUUUUUCAAGCCCGAAGCCCAAAAGCCCGCCCCGAAUGCUGUUUUUUAAUAUGCGCACGUGCAAGCCCGGCCCGAAAGAUAGAAAAAGGAAAGCCCGAGCCCGGCCCAAACUAUCUUUCAGGCUGCAAAAUAAAGCCCGAGCCCGCCCCGAAUGUCAAGCCCGGCCCGGGUCGUCGGGCCGGGCUGUCCAUGCCCGGGUUUAGUCGACUCUUGGUGGUUCAUAGACCCGAUUGUAAUUUUUAUUACCUCUGGUGUUCUUUGUACUGCCAUAAUUGAUGAAUAGAUUAAAAAUUUCUUUCAUAGAAAAGGAUUUAAAAUGAAAUUUUAAAACGGAUCUUUUAAGGUUUAUUUAAGUGCCACCGCCAAAACUAAUAUGGGAACAGAGGUACCCAAAAGAAAAAGGGAAAAGAGGCAAAUGUUGCAGACCAGAACUUUGACCCAACUUUCCUCGAUAGAGAAGGCACAGACCAUUCUGCCCUUUCUGUUCCCGCACGCCCACCCCCAUCCCGGCCGCCGCCGGCGCUCUCGUCGGCCCUAGGCGUCUGCAACCGCCGCCGCGUGGGGAGCUCACGCCCAGGCUCUAAUCGGUGACUCCCCUUUGCUUCAAACGUCACCCUUCUUCUUCCCUUUGUAUUAGGCCUCCGAAUCAUCAUCGUAUAUCUGUACAGACUCUACUGAUGUGCUCGACCAGUUCUCGCGCCCAUGCUGAUUCAUCCACGGCACCGCUACAGCCAUAAUUUUCUACAGCUCGCAGUGUCUCGUCGCCUCUCCUGCCCGAAGAUUUUCUCUAGUAGAGUACGUACUACUACGCAACCGAGCUCAUUUUUUUUAGCAGAUUCUUGUACAGACAUUUUACAACCGAGGUCAGGAUGCACCCAACCAACACUAACACGCACACCGGGAUCACGCCGGCAAACAGCAAAGCCAUAAAAGACCAAUGCUAUAGUAACACAGCACAAGUAGAUAACCAUACUUGAAUAAUCUCAUAACCAAGUUUAUAAAAGUACAUAGCACAGCCAUAAUAAAAAACUGAUAAUGAGGCAUCAAACUUGAACCUUACACAUACAUAGUAGGACGGACGAAAAGAACAUAGUACAUGACCAAACCGUGCCACACAACCUUUCUUUAUCCUGGAACUGAUAAGCGAUCCUACAAGCCAACCUUUGCUUCUUUCUUUCUGCAUUCACUUAACACUCUACCACAGCCUGCUGCAACCGCGUCGCAUCUUCCCCGCAAAGACGUCACCAUCCCUCGCUCAUGGUUCUUUCGAAAAUGAAGCUGGAAAGGAAAACAAAAUUCUUUUAGCAAAAGGGCCACACUCCCAUCAGCUGUUCUGAAAACCAAAAUUCUUUUAAAGACAAGGUCACACAUGGAACAAGGUCUAGUGCAGAAACUGAAUCAGCCAUGUUUGUCACUCUUCUGAAUUAAAAUAAGGACUCUACGGAAAAUAGUACGUGGGAUCCAAAGAAAACUUCUUAAUUUUCAGCGAUAAAAGUUUCUGCCACCCGUUGGAAUGAGCUUCUAGGUAAAAAAAAAUGCUAUCCAUACUCCCUCAUUCAGCGUCUUAUCCGUAGCUAAUGUGUUAGGGAAACAAUGAUCUUUUUUGUAUCAAUAAUUAAUUUGGAAGGCUGCAGAUUUCAGCCGUGCGUUCCAUAAGUAGUAUUCUUUUGAUGGAGUAUGAAUUAAGAAAGCAAGGAAAGAUGCAAAGCCAGCAGUUGUGACAAAAGAAACACACUGAACUAGUGCACGUUAGAGUUGUUUCACAUACCAUCUGAUGAGCAUACGUUUUGCACUGGCUUCUUCAUCAGUGCUCCAUUGCCGUUGGACCACAAGCAAGUUCGGCGGUGAGGAUGAAGAUUGACAUACCAGCUUCCCUUAGGUGACGAACAUCGCCGUUCAUGAGCCUCAACAGGUUUCUAGAGACCAGGAGGCCCAAGCCCUCCUCUGACUGCUGCAUGUCGUCCUCCUCAAACAUUUGCGCCAUUAGCUCUGCCGGGACUCCUAACCCAUGGUGCUUGAUCCUGAAAACAUACAGAGACCAAAAUAACCAUCACUAAGCAUUUCCCAAAAGAAGACCUCAAAACUUCCUUUCCAGAAAUUAGCAGGCAUAUUGCAGGACCGAUGUACUACCUAAGGUCAAGGUCAAUAAGGUGAAGAUUCUCUCCGAUGCUGUUCUUCGUCGCCUUGGCUGAGAUCUCGAUGGAACCUCCAACAGGAGAGAACUUCACAGAAAUAGAUAGGAAGUCAGAAAGGAUCUGCUGGAGUCGAACACCAUCUCCAUAGAUCAGUUUCUUCAUAAAUCUCUCUGGCAGGUUGCAAGAGACUCUGAUGCCUUUUCCCUCGCAGGCUAUCAGUACUUGGCUUACAGCAGCCACCACCACAUCUUGCAACACAAAUUCAGCCAUCUCCAAAUCCAAGCAACUAGAUCUGUGACCACAAAUGAUAGAAAACAAUUAUGUUAUUUUUAGAAGAUGAUAACAGUGAACUAUUAUGCACAUAAUACCUCUCAAAUAUAAAAGUAAGCUCGAGCAGUAAGUGAAACCAUAUAUACUGGCUAAAUUUUCCGGAAGCAGUACAAAUAUAAUAACAACAAUUAGUCCAACAAGUUGUGUAAAUGUAACCAUGUUUAAUUGUUGUUCCAUUUUAAUCACAUAAGUAGGCAUAUACUAGAAAGCAGGUCAAAUUAGGACAACGAACAACGACAUCAACAUACGAGGUCCGCAAACUGACAAAAAACAGGGACAGCCAUAAGUAAACAUGAGAACGUAAUAGAACAAUUCAGAAGAUUUGGCAAGAAGAAUACUUUUCCAUGAUGCUAUCUUGAUCCAAGUCGGCAAGUAUCUUGUUUAGCUGGUGGUGACAAUUAUCUGAGACAUGGAUCUGCCUCAUCUGUUCUUCAUUCAAAUCUGUGUUCUUUAGUGCUUUUCUGGAGUAAAGCAUGCCUGAGAGAGGGUUGUUGAUUGCAUGUCUCAUGUAGGAGAAAGCUUUCAGCCUUUUUAGUGACGCCUGCUCGGAGGCUUGCUGCACCUGCAGUGCUUGUUGCAGCUCAUGACUAGGAAUAUGAAUAAAACAGAAUACUCCAGUGAUGAGACCAUCCUCAUUUUGCCUUCUGUUCACUGACAGAAGGCACUCAGUGUACUUCCCGCUUCGGUCGAAGAAGCCAAAUGGAGCCUUUUCCGUUUCUUUGCCGGCUAACGCGCUGUUGAUAACAGCACAAAGGCUUACAAAUGCAUCUUUGUUCUUCAAAAGGCAGGAAGCAUUUCUACUGUCGAACACUUCACCGAGAAGCAUCUUAUCGAGCACUUCUUCUUUGUGCCACCCAGUCAGCUUGGUCAUUGCAGCAUUCCACUCACAACACCAUCCAAAUUCAUCAGCACCAAAUAUAGGAGGAAUAAGUGGGUUCGGGUUGUGAAUGAUCGCCUUGUAGUCUCCCUCAACCCGAGUAAACUUGUCCAUCACCAACUUAUGGACAGUCAUAUCUUGGGCUACAAAGCACACCCCAACAACAUCAUCAUGAAGGUCCCGGCUGGCACAAGCAUUCACAACCAAGAUAACAGGGCCAUCAUCUCUCUUUGGGCCAUGAGUCUUUACCUCAAAUCGAACUUCUUUCUCUUCUUUGCCUGUUUGAUCAGCGAAAUAUUUAUUAGAGACCCAUGAACGAUCGAUAUUACUAAGUUAUCAAUCGCAAAUUGUGUAAGCAGUUGACGCAAUAACCAGUUAGCUAGGUUCAACACACAAAUUAUCAAUAAAUGAAGAUAACACAAAGUUUCUGACUAAGGAGGAAGGCAAAGUAGGCGCGGAGGUAAAUAGAUAGAGAAAAGAAAUACAAUAAAUUUACUCACCCUGCAAAGCUAGAUAUAGCAUCCUCUGGACAACUGAUACAGAAGAUUCCUCCACAAGGGUAAGUAUGUGCCUUCCUAUGGCAUCAUCAACCCUUAGCCCAGUCAAUUCUGCCGCUUUCUGGUUCCACCCGUUGACCAAUCCAUUGCCAUCUACCGCCAAGAUUGGAACAGUUGCUGUUUCCAUUAGACGAACCAUUUCACUGGUCACUGCCUGCAAUUCAGCAAGCCCAUCAAGCUUUAGAUCACCAAUCUGUUCAUCUAAGCUAGCUUUUCCGGUUGGCUUGACGACACCAUCCACUGUCCCUCGAAGUAUAAGUUGCAAUGAAUGAAUAGCAUCCAUCUCAGAAUCAGUCCAAGCCAAGCUCUUCAUCUUGACAACUUCAAGGAAUGCCUUGAAAGACAACCUAGGGUGCAUCCUUCUGCUGUCAUCCUGGUCCGAUGGAUCAUUCUUUGCACCUCCCCAUCUGAUUUCUUUAGCUGUAUGUGACCUGAACCAAAAAAGAAUAUCAUUGGAAUUGAUCUUAGCCACUGCCAUCCCACAAACCAUAUCACCAAGAGCAGAGGCUCCUGGGUAGCCAGCAUCAUGGAGGCUCUCAGUACUCAGGCCAGUGGAGUCCAUGUGAACUUCCGACAACCACAAGGCAAGAUCGCGUAUCUGUGACUCGGUUGGAGCAUUACCCAGACGCCACACUUUGCCCCCAUACAAAAGAGCAGCACCAUCACAUUUGAUUAGGUCCAUGAUAUUGGGUGCCCCUGAUACGAUAGUCAGGGGAGAGGCUUCCUUGAACAGCAUGUCAGAGAGAAUUGUUUGCAUCCUCAGGAUGCUUUUUUCGCGUAACUGUUUCUGUACUUCAAACUCCUUGUUGACAUGGACAGCAAACACCUGUGCUAAGAACUCACAAGCAUAGCGCAGCGGAAAAGGGACAUAUCUGGGGCUCUCAUGGUGGCAAACAACAAGGCCCCACAGUAUCUUCUUCUUCUGCUGCUGUGCUGGUUGUUCAGAUCCGACCUCAUCAUCCUCUUCAUUCUCAUUAACCACAACAGCCAUGACAAGGGACGCAAUCGAGUUCAUGUUCUCCAUAUACUGAAGGUGACAGCUGUGUGCCGCCCUGAGUGCUGAACCACACAAGCUAAUAUCAAAGGGGAGUGCCUCAUCUUCGAUGACCUUUAUGGAUCUUGCGCGGACAUCACAAAUCAUCCGCACUUUGUUCUUCAUGAAAAGAAACCUGGCUGCUUGAGGGAUAUCAGUGGCCGGAUAGUGCAGGCCCAGAUAAGGCUCAAGGCCAGGCUUUGUGAUCUCGGCAAAGACCUCGCCAUGAUUAUCUUCAUGGAACUUGUAAGCCAUAACCCUAUCAUACCCUGUAAGUUCAAAGACCUCCUUGACCACAGUAUUGCAUAGCAGCUCCAUGCUUCCACCUGGCAGUGCCUGGAUCUUGGAGAUUGCCUUGGCAGCAAGCUUGUAAGACUGCAAGGCCCCAGCAGCAGUGGCAGGAAAUUCUGUGGGGUUCACAGGCUCAAAGUCUACCACCAAACAACCGGUUGCUCGGUGAACAAUGGCAUAGAAAGGCUUGCCUGAGGACUUGCACUGAACCAGGAUAGGGUUCAGCAAAGAAACAUCAGCAAACCCUAGCGCCUUGUGCAGAGCCGUGGCACCUUGGUCAGUGAACAGAGACCGUACAUUGGUGCCGAUGUCGAGCCUCGGGGGAUCGUCGACACUGGGCACUGCAUGGCUGACAGUUGUAAGCAUUUCUGGCGCGUUCUCACUGAAUGCAAUGACAUUGAAGCUCUUCUCAUCAAGGGCCAACAAGCAACCAAACGACUGGAUCAUCUUCCCUCUCUGAAUGUGCUGCAAGUAGGCUAUGACCUUCUCCGACCGCCCUUCCUGCAGCACGGUUGGAGUGUCCCGCUGGGCUUCGACCAGCUUGGAGUAGUCGAAGGAGUCACUAGAUUCUUCAAACUCAGCAUUGAGUUGAGCAUCAAGGGUUGUUUGUGCCAACACCCUUUCCUGGGUGCUCUGGCGGUUCCUGCUGGAAGAACUGGAGGCAGGCAUUGAGGAAGACAUCUCCUGCCUCGAGUACUCGAACCGCUCUCAGCAGCGGUAUCUGCUGCGUGCCACUCCUGCUGGACAUAAAUAAAUGAGAAGCGGCAAACACUAAUUAGUAGUAAAAUAUAAAAGUAUGGUAAACCAUUAACAGCUUGCAAAAAAAAAAAACAGAGACGAUCGUAAUGGCUAAAUAUAUUUGUUUAGUAUGAUGAAGUGCUACUAAAUAUGUGUUUCUCCUGUUUUCAGAAGCGUGAACAAAUUCGACAGGCAUUUUUUUUAAUCGAACACGCACCUAAGUGUGCGUCUUUGUAUAUUAGAAGAACAGAAAGAAAAUACAGAGAAGCAAAAGAACUGUACAGGCGUCCUACUGUAAAGACAUAAAUAAAUGAGAAGCGGCAAACACUAAUUAGUAGUAAAACAUAAAAGUACGGUAAACCAUUAACAGCUUGCAAAAAAACGCAGGGACGAUCAUAAUGGCUAAAUAUAUUUGCUUAGUGCUACUAAAGAUGUGUUUCUUUUCCUGGUUUCAGAAGCGUGAACAAAUUUGACAGACACUAGAAGAAUAAAGAUCCAUAAAGUACCACAUCUCCUGCAAACCCAAAAAGGUACUAGUAAAGAGACUUCCCAUGCUAACCAUAGGGAAGGAGCUCACUAGUUUGUAUCUGCAACGGUGUAACUUAUCCUAUUCAUCACUUGAAGAUUUUCAAAGCGAUCAGUCGGAUGUGAUUUAGCUGGGUCAGGAUCACUCUUCUCAACAUUACUGUAACCAGAUGAUCCUUUUUCCAAACAAAUUGUAUGGCUUAAUAAAAAGUAGAACAGUUGGUAAUUUCUUAUAUAGGAGAGUCAAUUAUCUCAUCUGGAGAAAAAGAAUGUGGCCACAAUAUUGGGAAGGUUAGUUCUGGCCUUUCUGUUGUGUACUUGUAUUAUUUCUCUUGAUGCAGAGGAGGCCGGGGUUAUCCCCUUUUUCGAAAGAUAAAACUUGUAUUAUUUCUCUUUUCCUUUUUUUUGCGAAGAGUGUACUUGUAUUAUUUCAACAAUACAGUAUACCCCCAUGCCAAAAUUCAGAAGGAAAAAACACUAGCAAGGCACGGCCAACACUUGUUGGCACUUCCAGUAAAUAUGCCUUCCCUGGUGAUGCUUCCGUUUCACAUAUACUCACUCUUUUACGGACUGUAGAGGUGUGGAUUUUGAGUUUUCACAUACCAAAAUCUCCUGCUUUUCUAGCUGUGCAAGACUGAAAGCUUAAAAAGUUCAGAAAGGCAACUAAACCUAAAAGACUCAGCGCAACCAAAAAAAAAAAACCCUACAAGACAACAGGAAGAACCUGCACAACAAAAAAUCAGCAACGGCACCACCAUCGAGAUAUGUAUCACCGCAAACAACCAAGCAAAGCAGAUUACAAGGGUCUCUGUCUCAGGAAAGCGCCCCCGGGGAUCGACGAAUCGCUCGGCGAUUCUGUCAUUCCGGUGACAUUGACAUGGCACAUGGAUGGACGGAAAUCAAGAACGACCCGGCGCUCGGAAAGCCUAUAAGUGGAAGGAACAACAGCACCAGAACGCCUCCCUCGGUCCCAAAUCAACUGAGCAGAGAGAUGCUCUGCUUUCACUGGUCAACUAGAAAGGGGAUUCUGCAUCGCCACAGUUGCAUACCACCACUACUACUACUCCUACAGAAGAGGAAAGUCACUCUCUCGACCUUUUCCCAGCGCCACAAAUUCAUGGAGUAGCAUGAUGCUGAGCCCUGAUCACCGGACACAGAGCAGGAACGUCGCCCUCUCUAACCUCCCAGGAUCGAAUUAGCUUCUGGUAUCACUAUCACGCAUCCAAAGUCAAGCUGGGAAGGAAGCAUUCAAUCCAAGCUCCAAGCUCCAAGCAAGCAUACAUACAUACACGCAGGUGGAACAAGGGAGGGGGGAGCUGGGAAGGAAGGAGAGGAGAGGGUACCUGCUACCCGGCGGCGAGCCACUGGAGAGGUGAGGUGACGGGGCCGUGGUGGAGGGGAGGAGUGGAGUAGCGGAGUGAGUGAGGCCCGUGGGUGGUGGACGCGAAGCAAAUAAAUACUGGCAGUGGCGGCGUGGCGCGCCGACCCUUGCUCCGCGCCGCGCCCAUGACCGGCGCGGAUGGGAGAGCGAUGGGAGCUGUCGACGCUUAAUUGGCCGCAGCCUUUCCAUGUCGACUUGAUUAACCUAAUAACUUCACCUGCUUCCCAUCGGGGGUUAACCCGUUGUGGAACUGCAGACGAUACGCGAUAUCCGUUGCCCUUUCCUCAACGAGCUAGCUGCUCGAUCUGUGCUACUCUGACUUCUCUUCCUUUUUCAAACGUUUAUGCUAUUUGGUACUAUUCCGUCUCAUAAUACAAGAGCGUUUUUUUAUAUUAUGGGACGGAAGAAGGAGUGCCGAAGAUUUUUCUUUAGCAUUUCCGAGCUAGUUUCUCUUUUCAGCUAGAUUUCUGCUUUCUAUAUUAAUGCAUCAACAUAUCCCUUGAGUGUAUGAGAUGACUUGAGACUUAUUAGAGCAUCUCCUGCCGCGUCCCCAACAGGCCCCCCAGAUCAUUUAUUAAGGCUGGCGCUGAAAAAAAUUGCACCCAGAAGCCUAAUUUUCGCCAGUUAGGCUCGAAAUUGGUGCCGGCGGACUCAGGCCGAACCUGGCGCGCUGUGGGGCGCUGGGGGAAUCAUUUUUGGCGCGAAAGAACGGCGGGCCCGCCGAGUCAGCGACCCCCGCGCAUCGUCAUCCUCAUCGCCUCGGUUUUCCGCGGGGAAUCAAUGCCAAGACUGCCGCCAGUCAGCCUUUCAUUGAUUCCUCACGGGCGGCGCAGUGCGGCGACGCUCCCCCUCCCGCCACGUGUACACACGGGCGGCGCAAAGCGUCAAGGCCGAGCCCGUGGAGAUGCCGCUCGGUCGGCGCAGCCGCGGCAUCGCCCUCGUCAUCAACGAGGGCGGCCAUGCCUCGUCGGCUCCUACCUCCCGCCUCAUCAAGCCGAAGACGGAGCAGGGGCUCGUCCCCGUGAAGAGCGAGCACGAUGACAUGCCCGCACUCGACGACGGGGCCGCCUUGAAGUGGGCGCGGGAGGACUGGGCCCGACUGGAGAUGGAGCUCCAGCGCCGCGCCCUAGAGGAGAUCGCCGCUCGACGUCAUGGCCGCGACGAGGGAGGCGUCAUCGUCCUUGAAGACAGCAACGACGAGGCACCGCCGCUGGCCAAACCAGUCCACCAGGGCGACCCCGGGCAGGGGUCUAGCAGGGAUGGCCGCGGUGUGAAGAAGGAGAAGGAGGAGGACGACGGCGGCGACUAUGACACCUUCAGCAAGCUCUUCAGCCUGUAGGCGCGACAGUGGCCGUUUUUUCCUUUUAGUAGAUUUUGUUUUCAAUAUGAAAAAUACUGUGAAACGCCUAAAUAUCGCCGAAUCUAUGUCGUGUUUGCCGAAUUUUGGUCUAGUAUGUUUUUAAAAAUAUUUACAAAACGUCGACAGGGGCGACCUGGGGGCGACGGCUGGGAACCCGAUCGCCCCCACGUCGAAAUUAUCGCCGGUUCACCCCCAGGGCGUCGCUAUUUCCAGCCCCUGGGGGGCGAACGGCUGGAGAUGCUCUUACAGAUUUUUUAGUGCCUAGAGAGCAGAAUCCUUGCAUCUUUGUAAGCAGAAUCCUUGCAUCUUUGUAGGCCAAGCUCCUUGCUUUCUUGAAUCUCAUCAUCGUGCUCCAUUUAUCUUUGUUUCAAGCCUAUAUUCGUGUAAGAGAGAUCCCAUGGGAUCUUGAGAGAGUUUUAUUGAAGAUCUUUUGAGGGUGUGCGACUCCUAGGCGACAAGGAGUCACUUGAGAGUUGUCAAGUGUUGUGAAGGAUUUACGACUUUGUACAAGGCUCAGUGGUCACCUUCUUCAUGCAAGAUCAAGCGUGAGGGAGGGCUUGACCUUCAUGGUGGCAAGUCGUGGUAGGAUAGGUAGAUGUCGCUUGUAUGGACUCUUUGUGGGUGACGCUACCGAGACCUUUUUUUUAUUUAAAAGGAAGCUUUAUUCAUUUGAAAUAACCAGUACAUCGUUUGUGAGGAUCAUUACAAUUUCAUUUGGAGGUUCCUCAAACCAGUCGGAAGUCGAAGAAAAUCUAGCUAAUCUAGCAAGUUCAUGAGCUACUUUAUUUGCCUCUCUAUUACAAUGUUCGAAUCUAGUCGUGACAAAAUCACAGGCGUAGUGGUAACAAUCCUCGAAGACUGCUGCUGCCGCCCCCGUUGAUUGUCCUCCUUCUUGCAUGGUCUCAACCACCUCCAUGUUGUCUGAGUUGAUGAUUAGGCGGUUACACCCCGCCCUUUGCGCCAUUGUUAGGCCAAAGUUGAGAGCUAAAACUUCAGCCAUCAAAACAUCCGCACAAUAGUCAAUCUUUCCAUUUCCUCCUGCAAUGAACCUACCUUUGUGGUCUCUUAAAACUGCCCCCAUCGUACCCUUCAACAUAUCAUGAUCAAAAGAGGCGUCAACAUUAAGUUUCACAAAACCCCUAGGAGGAUAGUACCAACCCCCCUUUUUCAUCGUCGCCUUUGGAGAUGAUGCAUUUACAAAGUUGGAUGUGAGAGCUAUGAUCCCCAAUGCUAUCUGAUUUGCAUUCUGAGUUAAUUCCUUAUGCACUAACUUUCGUCUUUCCCACCAUAGGUACCAAGCUGAAAUAGCUAUCAUUUCACGUACAUUUUGAUACCCCAUAAUACUCAAGUCUUGGUCUGGAAGAAGUAAAAGGUAUUCCAAUAUUGCCUCCCAGGCAAGAUCAACCUCACAAGCUUUAUCAAUUAUCACAUCCAUCCCUAGUCUCUUCCAAACCUCCUUUGCUUUACUACAGAGGAAAAGCAUGUGUUUCGUAUCUUCUAAACCCCGAGAGCAAGUCGGGCAAGAGGGCGAGACCUUCAUGUGUCUAUUAGCGAGUGUUACCCGGCAUGGGAGAGUGCCAUGUAAUGUACGCCAUAUAAUUUUUUUUACCUUUGCUGGGCAGGCUAACUUCCAUAUCUGACACCAAAUAGGAUUUGGUAUGCUUUGCCCCAUCCCAUUAGAAUAUUUGAGUCUACUCUCAUACUGAUAAUUCCAUUCCACCGAGUAAGCAGACCUUACCGAGAACAUACCAUUUUUUGUGUAACUCCAGGCAAUGAAAUCUGUCAUAUCAUAUUGCGAAAGUGGGAUUGAAAGAAUUCGUUGUGCGUCAAUGAGCCACAUAGUUUGUCUAAUCAGUUCCUCAUCCCAAUUGUUGGAAGCAGGGUCAAUCAGGUCACUCACUUUUGAUAGCAAAUGGCUCCCCCUGGGGGUCACAAUCUUCCUAGUGACACAGUUUGGGAUCCAGGCAUCUUCCCAGAUAUUGAUGUUAUGUCCAUUACCCACUCGCCAAAUAUAGCCACGAUUCAGAGUAGUUAUACCUGCCAUAAUGCUCUGCCAGGUGAAAGAAGCGCCACGCUUUGGCUUAGACUUCAGCAAAUCGCCAUCAGGGUAGUACUUGGCCCUCAGAAUAGUGGCACACAAGGAAUCAGGAUUAUCUAUAAGACGCCAUGCUUGUUUGGCGAGCAAAGCCAGGUUGAAACAGUGGAUAUCACGGAAUCCCAUUCCACCUUGGUUUUUUGGUACACACAUUUUCCACCAGGCCAUCCAGUGCAUCCUCCUCUGGUUCUCCUCGUCACCCCACCAGAAAUGCGCUAUCGCGUCAAUGAUUCCUUUACAAUUUUUUUUAGGAAUUUUAAAGACCGACAUUGCAUAGGUAGGUAUGGCUUGGAUCACAGCCUUGAGUAGGAUCUCCUUCCCCCCGGCAGACAGUAAUUUUUCCUUCCAACCACUAAUUUUCUUAACAAUUCGUUCAAUCAGAAAUUUAAAGCAGUCUGAUUUAUCAGCACCCACGUUGGCUGGUAAACCCAGGUAUUUAUCAUUCAUUGCCUCCGUCAUUAUAUUCAGCGUUGUACACAUUUGUUCCCUGAUCUCAACCGUUGUAUUAGGACUAAAAAAAUGCUGGAUUUUUCCACACUUACCAGUUGUCCCGACGCCGCACAAUAUAAAUCUAAUGCUGAUUUCAGGGCCGCCGCACUAUGCUGAUUGGCUUUCAUCAAGAUCAAUGAAUCAUCCGCAAAGAGAAGAUUUGUGACUGGCGGGGCGUCCCUACAUACUUUAACUCCUGAUAUGUUUUCGUUUCCUCGGCAUGUGUCAGCAAUGCAUUCAACCCCUCUGUGCAUAGCAAGAAGAGGUAUGGUGAUAGCGGAUCACCCUGCCUCAAUCCUCUAGUAGGUUUGAAGCUCUCACUUUCCUCUGCAUUGAUCCUUACUAUGUAUUCGACAGUUGAGACACAUUGCAUAAUCAAAUUCACCCAUUCUUGACGAAAACCCAAUCUCAACAUAAUCUCUUUCAAAAAAGGCCACUCGACUCUAUCGUAUGCUUUGUGCAUGUCAAGUUUUAUGGCACACAAGCCCUCUCUACCUUCUCUUUUGUUCUUAAUUGUGUGAAAACAUUCAUAGGCCACUAAAAUAUUAUCCGUUAUCAGUCUUCCCGGUACGAAUGCACUCUGUGUUAGGCUAAUGAUUUCUGGUAAAAAAAACCUUCAAACGGGUAGCCACCAUUUUUGCAAUUAUUUUGUAUACCACAUUACAUAAGCUGAUCGGUCUAAAUUGUGUUACCUUUUCUGGUGUAUUAAUCUUAGGAAUCAUCACGAUCGCCGUAUCGUUCCAACCGGUCGGGAUAGUACAUGUGUUGACUGCUUUCAGAACCUCCUCAAUUAGGUCCUCCCCCAGCAUAGGCCAGAACCUUUUAUAGAAAAUAGCAUGGAGACCAUCUGGUCCUGGAGCUUUUAAGUCCCCAAUAUCGAAUAAAGCCUUGCGAACAUCUUCCGCGGUAUAAGGGGCAAGUAGAGCACUGUUCAUUUCAUUUGACACUCUCCUACGGACAAGUGAUAAAACUUCUUGAUUGGGAUGCAGAACUUCCGAAGUGAAAAGCUUUGAAAAAUAUUUAGUGAUGUGAUCUCUCAACUCCUUUUCUUCUACCCAGUUUCCUGAAUCAUCUAACAGUUUCCUUAUAUUAUUUCUUUUUUUCCUGGCCGUGGCAGCGUUGUGAAAGAAAGCUGUAUUACGAUCCCCAUGCAUCAACCAGUUCGCCCGUCCUCUUUGUAACCAGAAAACUUCCUCUUGAUCCAAAAUAUUCUCAAUUACCACAAUAAUUUCCUUCUGGCGACAUCGAGAUUCCGUAUCCAGAGGGCCUCGUCUUAGUUUCUCCAAUUCUUUUUUCAAUUUCCUAAAUCUCACUUUCGGUCCCUUUAGAGUUUCCCGAUCCCAAGUAUGCAAAUCGGCAUGCACUGCUCUCGUACGAUCAGCAAGUGAAGGUCCAAUCCCCGCAAGCUUUGCUUUCUCCCAAGAUGCCUUAACAAUUUCAGUGACUGUCUCUUCUUUCAACCACCUCGCCUCAAAUUGUUUAACACGUCCCUCUGGUCGUUUGAAUAUUUUUUCAUCCAAACAAUCCGUAUCCAGUACGAUUGGACGAUGGUCAGAAUGAACAUGUUCUUCGUUGGUCACUCCCGCUCGUGGGAAUUUAUUUGCCCAUGCUAAAUUACAGACCUCUUUGUUCUUGGGACUUGGUAUCCAAACCCCCACUAAUGGGGAGUAGGAUAGCACCAACUAUUUGAACUUCAGGUAAAUAUCUUCAUGUCACUGUAUUUGCAUUCACUACUCUUACUCUUAUGUUGUUGCAAGUUUUGUUUCCGCGCUCUUAUCUUGUUGUAGACUUGCAUGAUUAGGGCUCUUAAGUAACCUUGAUAGAUACACUUUCAUCCCGUAAAAAAAAGAUAGAUACACUUUCACUUAAGUCUAUCCACACCCCCUCCCUCCCCACCCGCCCACCACCAGCAGUGUAGAUCAUAGCCUUCGAUCCCUCACUUUGGCCAAUAUUAAAAUGGUUGUAGUUGUUACAACAUUGUGCUAUAGGUUUACAGAGAUGUUGGUGAAGGAAAUGGAAGGUGAAGUGGCAGUGGUGGUGAUUUCAGGAAAGUGAAUGGAAGACACCAAGCAUUGCGCAAGGCUUACCAAGGCGACACGGGUGGAGAAGGCGAUGUCAAGAGGCAUGUUUUUUUUUUCUGCGAUAAGCAUGUUAUUAUUCAUACUAAAAUACCACAACAAUAAGAAAUUACAUUUGAAUACAAACCAUAUGUGAUUUACUUCACGGAAUUUAACUUUUACGUUCUUGUAGUAGUUAUUGACGAAAACCUACAAAGUUUGUACUUCAAAAAGAGCCGGUGUUGCGAAUUGAGCGUUGCUCAGAUGGUUAGCAUUCUUGUGGUGAAACCAAUUCACCAGGGUUAUGUCGGAUGUGUUCACGGAGAUAGGGUUCACGUGCGUGCAUUCAUACGAAAAGAUGUAUGUACGUGUGUGUGAGUAUCUGCAAUUGUUUUUGUUUUUAAUACAAUACAGACAUAAAUGAUCAUACAUAUGCGUAUCUGCGAUUGUAUUGUGUUAAAAAAACGGUUUUUGUAAAAAUCAGCAUCCCGCAUAGCAACCUGGAACGACGAGACAUCAUAUCUCACCUUGUCAAGCUUGAGACACGGCUCUAAUCAGUAUCCCAACGGUUGAGUCGUUUCGUCUCGCUGCCUACUUUUUAGUGCAUUGUUGAAUGCCUUUCCAAAGCGGUUUAAGCUUACGUAGGUUUUUCUAGUAAAAAAAGUAAGGACUCGUUUGUUUUCUCUUUAUAUCUGACCGUCGAGCAUUAUUUUUCUCAACUAUGUACAAGUAUAAUGCACCCACACAAAAAUCAUGCAUGUUUUAUCAAAAUUCAGGGUGAUCACCAUGGACACACAUGCUAACGGUCCAAGAGACUUCCCUAAUAACGACGGUCGUCACGAGAAAGACGGGGUUGUCACACUUUGCCAGAAGAAGCCAUCCGGGCGAAACCGCCGUGGCAUCCAACCAGGCGUUCCCCUAAAACCUCAAAGCAUCUACAACCGAUCAUUUCAAACUAACAGUUCAAUCAGUGCUUCGCCAUGAAAAAUGACUCGAUCGGGCUUCUCAAAAUGGCAGUGAAACCGACACCCUUUAAACCUAGCCCAAAUUUAAGAUAUGUAUGGGGAGGCCCGGACGCAUUUGCCAUGUUAAGCUGACCCACCAUGGCCCGCAUAGACCACAUUAAAAUUCCCCGCCCGGAGUGAACCCUAGUUUCACUUCACUCUCCACUCCUCACGGGUAUCGAUGGGCGCUCGUGCCCACGCCAAGGACGCAACGGAGUCGGAGGCGAGCGUUGCCCGCCAUGAGGGCUAGGGAUAGGGCGGCGGCGUCGAAGGCAGCGGUACAUUCCUCCUGCCUCCGACACGAAUUGCCUGCGGUGCCCGAUAAGGUGGAGCAGCUCCUCACGGUUGUCUACAACCGCUCACUGACGACAGCAGACACGAAUGCCCACCGGCUCCGUCGAAAUAACGCCAAUGUGCUCAGGCUCGGUAUCGAGCAAUCAACGUGCAAAGCGCUGGAGAAGGCGGUGGCGGAAGCGAGAGCAGCAAAUCUGGUGAGCCAGCAGAACUGCACCGUCCGAAGGAUGGCCGGCUACAUCGACUCCUCGUCUGACAAUUUCGACUAACCCCUCCUGCCGUCGACGCCUACACGGAGGGCUACGGCCACUUGGUGACCAGAAGGGUAAAGAACUGGCGAGGAAGUGGUAAAGAUCCUCGACCCUCUCCGUAUUUGUUUGCAUUUUUAGUAAUUUUAGUUUAGAACUUUGUUUGCCGUCUGAAUUUUGAUGUUCUUUUGGUCCGAAUUAUCUGGAUAUGGGUUUCGUUCUAUGUGUGUUUGUUCUAUGUUUGUUUAUUUCAUUGAUCAUCGACGCAGUAUUUUUCACGUUGCAUGCAUAUUAUAGUUUUAGAGCAUUUCUAACCGAUCCCUUAUAACCGAUUAGAAGAGUAAAAAUCCGGUUUUACUCCUUUAACCGGGACCUAGCCGAACCCCUAAAACCAUUAGUGGAGCAAAAAAAUCCUCCACCAUUUAUCCCGCGCCUAUAUUUACUCGACCACUCGGUAGCGGAGUAAAAAAGUCGCACCCUUCUCUGCCUCUCCUCCUCCCCAAUCCCCGCCUCCGACACCGCCCCCCGCCGCCCACUAGCCAGAUCCCAUGGCCGCCGCUCCCCGCCACCCAUCCGCAGCGUGGAUGCCAGCCGCCAUGAGCGUGGAUGCUAGUCCUCAAGCUGUUGCCGCCGCGCCGAUGCGGCCCCCUCCAGACGGCUCUCCGACUUCCUAGACCUCCCUCCGCCGCGACAGUCGCAGAGGAAGUACAUCGGCGCCCGCCAGCGGCCGUGGGGACGUGGGUGGCGGAGAUAACUGACCGCGACACCCACACCAAGAAGUGGCUCGGCUCCUUCCACACGGCUGAGCUUGCCGCCCUCGAGUACGACCGGUGGCAGGUCCGGUUGCACGGCGCAGCGGCGCGCCUCAACUUCUUGGGGGAGGGAGGCGCGUCGGGCUCCACCCACCGCCACCGGGGGUGGUGAGUGCGGCGAUGGCUAGGAAGGUCCGGGAGGCGAGGGAGAGCAUUGCGGCGGAGGCCGUCGAUGAGGAGUACAUGGCGGUCCUCUGCCACUAGUACACCGAGCUAGCGGAGGCGGAGCGGACGAUCUUCUUGGAGUGUGGGGUCAACGGGAGGUCAUCGUCAUCUCCGACGAUGGCGGCAAGGACGAGGAUGAGUUCAAUGUUGAAGAAUGGCGGCGCAUCUUCCCCGGAUUGGCUUGUCCUCUAUAAGGGCGGCGAUGAUGUUUAGUUUUAGUUUAAAUUCAUGUUCAGUUUUAAGUUCAAGUUCAUUUUUAUGUUUAAAACGAGUGAUUAUGUACAUUAUGUGUCGAAUGUCGGUUGUUUAAAUUGAAUCUAUGCUGAACUUAUGAAAACGUGCUUUUUACUUCGUUAAAUUUAGGAGUUCGGCUAGGUACGAACAAAAUUUAGUGGAGUAAAAAUCCUCCACUAAAAUUUACUCCGCGGAUUUGCUCCUCUAUUUUUAGGAGAUCGGUUAGAGUUGGCCUUAGGGUUCUGAAUAUGAGGAAAGGCGGCUAGGAUUACUGCCUCCCGUCGGCGGCAUCGCCGAUCUGCCACGUCUCCUGUGGCCUUAGUGCCAUAGGUGCGCAGUGGAUCCCGGCCCUUGCCGGUGGGACAACUCCGGUUUUAGGUGCUUCUUCAAGUUUUGUUACGGUUUGUGCCCUGCUUAAGAAAACGAGACGACAACGACUUCUUGAAGAUGGAAUAAGGUUCUGCCUGCCUAGCCCCCGUCCCGGUGGUGCGUCUAGCAUCAUUGGAGGGCGUGUGGAGGUGUGUCUCCGGCGGUUCUCACGGGAUUCGGUUGGUGAUUGUCGUUGGUGGAUCUGCUCGGAUCCGGUCUUUGUUCAUUUUUGUUCUUGUGUCCUCAGGUUGGAUCCUUUCGAUCUAAAUUUCUCUUCAUCGGUGGCGGUUAUUUGUUAUGGUGCGUUGGUCCUAUGGGGGCCUUAGCAUGACGACCCCCGACUGUCUACUACAACAUGUUGUGCCCGGCUCCAGCGAGGAAGGACGAUGACGGCGGCACGCCUUCGGCUCGCUUCAGUGCUUGUAGUUGUCGCUGGAUGGUCUACAAAUCUGGAUAAUUUUUUUAUUAUUUUUGGUGUUCGUUAUUCUGCCAUUAUUGAAGAUGAAUAGAUUAAUAGUUUCUAGAAAAAGAAUAUAAGGUACAAGGCUGUGCACGCGGCGAUUUAAUGAUUAUCCGGUCAUUGUGCACGUACAUAUUAGAGCAUCUACAACCGGACCCCUCAAACCCGUCUCAAACGCCCCGGCAGGCCGCCCGGUCGCUGCCCAGUCACGAAAUUUGGACCCAGACGGGCCCCUAAAACGCCCGGGCUGACCGGCACCCCCCAUAUCCAGCCCAAAUAUGGGGCGGAUAUGGGGGCACCCAGGCACACCCGCCAGGUCGGACCCGGCCCACGUUGGUCCACCCGACCCCACUUAUAUUCGUCCUCAUCCUCUCGCUGGACCAAACCCUAGCCACUUCACUCCACUCCCCUCCACUCCUCCGCCACCCGAGCUCACCUCCGGCGGUUUGCGACCUUUUCCGCCAUGGCACGCAGUGGAUCGGACUUCGACCGGUCCGGAUCCGUCGAUUGGGGCGUCGCCCCGUGUGGUCUGGAGGAGGCAAUGGCAGUCCGCAUUGCACUCCGCCGCUCCCGGGAGGACAAUGCCCGGCCGACGGACGGAUCCGUCCGCCGCGACACAUAGCGUUGGCUCACCGAGCGCUCGGGUCCUUUGGUGUUGGAUCUCGCGGUCCCGGCCGGAACACCCCUCCUUCCCAUCAUCGGUCGGGCAGAGUAUGAGUCCCCCAGGGAACGGGCGACCCGCCGUGGGAAGGAGAGGAUAAAGGCCGCCGAGGCCCGUCUCGCGGCGGCGGAGGCGGCCGAUGCGGUGGCGCGGGCGGCCGUAGAGGAGGAAGCCAUCCGCGCCCGCAUUGUGAAGAAACGGCAGCGGAGGAACACGCGUGUCCUCGCCCGUGAGCAGAAUCGGGCGAUCUGUGCCAUGGCCGGAAUGCCACCGAAGGAGGAUAAAGAGGACAGCACCGACGACGAGCAGAUCCGGCUCGAUCCGUACUGCGUCUUCGACGAGUACUUCCACAAGAAGGACAAGGGCAGCUGUGGAUGAACUCCACCAUAGCUAAACAUGCCAAAUUUUGAUAGUCCGAUGGCAUGUUUAGUGUAGCGUGAUGGAGUAGCCGGACGAUGCGUGUGCGUCGACGUAGUUGCAUGAAUUUGUAUGAAUUUGAGAUAUGAUAAUUGAGGUGUCCGGAUAUGAAUUGCAUUUUUAUAAAAAUGCUCGGUCAGUGGCCUUAGACACGACCGUUGGUGUUUGAGGGGCCGGAUUUGCAAGUCCGGCUAUAGAUGCUCUUACAGGGCGCAUAACCGUGGGCGCGAUGACGCCGAGGACGAGACGAACCCACCGGAGGCCGAGAGGUCGGGGCUGCAAACCAAGCGAGGUGAGCACGCGUGCGUGCGUUGCGCGCGCUGUCACGCCACGCGGCGGCAACGGCUCGGCAACGGCAACGGCCCGGCCGGGGCAGCGACGCCAUUGCCUUUUCCGUUUUCUCGAGAUCCUUCGUUCUUCCUUUUCUGGGUCUGGCCGAGUCGCGUGGCGUCUCACGUGGCCCUCGGGCUUGCCACUUGCGGACAGGGGCACGUGAGCGGCACGUGGCCACGAUGGGCCUCCUCAUAUGGGGGCUAGAACCUUCAAUGCUUUAUCCAUGGGAGCUGCAUGGCUUCUGCCUGCUGGCCACCGGGAGGGAUGGGGGACCAUGUCGGCACCCGGGCUCGUGCCUCACUGACCUGUGGCGCCUUCUGCGACGUGGGCCCCGCUGUCAGUCAGUGACUCCUGUCCCAGUACACGAGUGCUUAGCUAUUGCAAUGUUCAUGGCCAACUUGCGUGCGUUGUUUAUUUGGCUUCCAGAGGCCGCUGGGCGCGUCCAUUUUUAUUAUUAUAAUAAGUCGCCACUGACAUUUCAGGUGAAUUUCCUGCUCGAGGAUUGAUGCCGCCACCUCUGUAAACUCACUUUAGGCAUCGGACUGAACAAGUGAUGGGGAAGACAUUCCAUUGGCCUACCCGAUUUGUUGUACGAAUAUAUUUUUCAUGCAUAUAUACAAGGGUGCUGCCAUUGAUCCAGUCAUGAUGGAUGAUGCAACAAGUGCCACUAUUUGUAUACUAGUAAGUUGCACGUGCUUUGCACGCUAAACUGUAAAAGCACGCGCUUGACUGAUGGAUUAACCGCGGAGCACAUUCGAGAGUUUUAUAUGUUCGCAUUUGGAAGCUAACCUCUAAUGCUUGCUACUCCACUGUCUCGGCAUCCAAUGCCCGUUUUCUUUGUUUGACUCCGUCUUUGAUCAAGCUCACAGUUUGGAAAGCUUGGGCACCUUCAAAGUGCAAUUUUUUUGCUUGGCAAAUGAUAAAUUGCAAAAAAUAGGAUAGCCCAAUUGUAGCUUUUGCCAUCUUUGCAAAUGUCACAUGGAGACCUCGGGACACAUCCUAUUCCAAUGCCAAUAUACACAAAGAAUUUGGUGCGUGGUCAAAGAUUGGCUUGGAAAAAAGGACCUCGACCCCGGAAAUUGGCAUCAUUCAACUCCACCCACAUUUGGUGGACCAAAGCGGUCGACUCAAAUGAGCAACCAAACAAUGCCAUGGCUUAUCUUCUUAAGCACAUGUCAUGGGAGAUUUUGAAUGAGGAAUGCUCGAGUUUUUAGCAAUUUUGCAUCUUUGCCUACGUCUGUAUUUGGCAAUAUCAAGAAAGAGGCUAGGUUGUGGCAUAUCACCGGAGUGAAACACUUAGGGACGAUCAUUCCUGGAGAGUAGUUUUUUCUUUUUUUUUUGCGAAUUUCCUGAAGAGUAGUCUGUUUGCUCCUUUUUUUAAUACGACCUUGUACAUGCUUUUUACUCCUUGCUCAUUUAAUGAACAGGCAAAGCUUUAGCCUUGCUUAAUAAAACAUUUACCAUCUAAAAUACUUCCUCCGUUUCUAAAUAUAAGUCUUUAUAGAGAUUUCAAUAUGGACUGAUUGUACACUCUAAAAUACAUAGUUUUUAUUAGAAUCUCUAAAAAGACUUAUACUUCCUCCGUCUCAAAAUAAAUGUCUCAAACUUAGUAUAACUUUGUACUAAAGUUAUUUUGGGAUAGAGGGAGUAUUUAGGAACGGAGGAAGUAUGAGAUAGUGAGCAUAUUAGAAUGUGAAGCAUCUAUUUAGUUCCUUCUAUGUUUAUGGAUUGGUAGAAAUAUCCGUCUUUGCUUAGAAAAAUGUGAUUCGUACACGCUAGCUAGAUUAAUUGCCCGCAAAAUAUCCUGGAUAGUGGUGCGGCAUACCCUUUUUCUAUGGCGGCUGAAUCGUAGUACUCCUUUUUUUACAUCAAAAUCGUAGUACUCCUAGUUAUGUGAUAAGACAGGUACUGGCUCGGUCAAGCUAAAAAAAUCCAUCCAUUGAGACCGGCCAGACCGCAGAACGGGUAAGUUUCUGGAACAACCUUCUAGCUUCUAUGUUUUUUUAAGGGAAAUACCGUAAAGCUUCUAGCUGGUUCCUGCAGCUGGUUCAGUGUGGACCUGCGACUCACGGCAGGAGAGGCGAAUCCCGCGCAUGCUAGCCAUUGGAUACGUAGCGCUGACAAUUGAUGAACGGUAGAUGCCAACCUAAUGCGGGAAAUCAACGGCUCCAAGCACCUCAAAAGCGUUUUGGCGGGAAGCUGGGAGGGAAGUGGUAAAUCCAAAUUCAAAACUGCUACGCUAUAGUAGUAGAGAUAUUCAACCAAGGCCACAACGUGGAGUGCAGGUUUCCGAUCGGUGAUAUCCCGCUGCGCCCGGCAUCCAAAGAUGGCCUCAAAUCGUGGCCUCCAUCACGACGACCUGCACUACUGGGCUAAAAGGGAUGCAAAGCAAAAGAAAUGGUUGGAGAGGGAGAGGCUAUGGUAGAACUGCAUGUUAUCAGCCAAUUUAUUCAAAAGCUCAAGCUGAUGAAAAAGGUGGGCUAUGCAUUCAUACGUCAACAUUUUCUCUCACGUGUGGCUCUCUCAUGCCCAAACAUGGAUCAAAACUGGGAUGCAAUUUAAUUGCGUCAGCCCGAUAGGAAAAGGUGGGAUAUGCAUUUAUACGCCAACAACCACGGCCUGUAGGUGUCGAUCGGGCCCACACACUCUCGUAUCGCUUAUCAGAUGAUCUGGUUUGGUAGAUAAUAGGAGGGCAUCAGAGCAUCUACAACCAGGACUGACAAAUUGCUGACAGUAUCCAAGCAGUUGUUAUUUUGCCCUCUCCACAACCAAGGACCUUAAAUGCGCCAUCUCUUUUUCAUACAAACACAUGCAAAGUACGUAGAUCAUACGAGAAAAAAUAGAACAUGGCAUUUCAGUCACCGGACAUCCACAAAGUUCAUCCAAAAGGGCCGAUGGAGUUGCAAAAGGUUUUUCUGAUAUGAUCGUUAUUUGUAUUUGGGAGUCCACACGUCUUACGAGAGGCCGCUACCGACUAUUAGUCGAGUAGGUGUACUUGGGUCUUGUCCAAGUAUACGUGAAUCUAUAGGGUCACAUACUUAAGGGACCUCGAACAGAGAGUUUAGAUGCGAUUCAUUCUUUAUUGGGUUUAUAGUGUUAAUGGCCCUCUAAGGUAAGCCCAUUAGGAGGUCUAUGCAAGUGAGAGGUGGGUAGCAUUAGGGCUAGCGUGAACAUUAGGGUUACUUCAUGCAUGUUGUGAGACGUAACUCGGUCUUGUCUCUAGGUGCGAGGGAAUGAGCCAGCCCAGCACUGUAGCACCGCUGGCUCGAGUUUAUUUGCCUUUAUUUUCUCUUUGUUUAUCUUAUCGGAUUUCUUCGUUUCUUCACCGCUUUUCUUUGGUUUUCAUGCAUUUCUUCACCGGUUUCUGCGGUUUUCUAUUUUUCUUCAUUCCUUUUCUCUUUUUUUUGAACACAUGUGUACUCUUUUUUCAAAACACAUUGCACAUUUUUAGUAUACAUGUGGAACAUUGUUUUGAUACACAUUGAACAUUUUCAAAUACAUGAUGCACUUUUUUUUUCAAAAUAACUAUUUUGAACUUUAUAAUAGAUUUUGAACAUUUUCUGUACAUGUUGAACUUUUUUAUUGGCAUUAAACAUUCCUUAAACUACGUGAACAUUUUUUUACGUUGUAUGAACAUUUUUUAAUCUGUCAAGAUUUUUUUGAAACACAUGAAUAUUUAUAUAAAAUAUUACAUACAGUUUUAAUGGUUCAUAACAAUUUUUAUACUACAUGCGGAUACUUUUUAACAUCGUAUAAACAUUUCUAAAAAAAAUAUCACAUACAUUUCUUUUGAAAUGGCACAUACAUUCAUUGAAUGAUACGAAACAUUGUUUUAGUUAUGCGAACAUUUUACAUUGUGUAUACUUUUUUCUUGAAAUGUCACUAACUUUUUUUUAAUUGUGUAAGAACUUUUUUAAUGUCACGAACUUUUUUUCAAAUGCUAUCAACGUUUCAUAAAAGUCGCGCCAACUUCUUUUACAGCACAUGGACAAUUUUAAAUGAGCAAUUAAAAUUUUUAAGAUUUUAAUAAAUAAUUACCUAUUUCAGAAAUAUAGAUAAAGGUAAAAAAACAUGCACUAGGAGCCAACGCUCCCUCCCAUGAUGNNNNNNNNNNNNNNNNNNNNNNNNNNNNNNNNNNNNNNNNNNNNNNNNNNNNNNNNNNNNNNNNNNNNNNNNNNNNNNNNNNNNNNNNNNNNNNNNNNNNNNNNNNNNNNNNNNNNNNNNNNNNNNNNNNNNNNNNNNNNNNNNNNNNNNNNNNNNNNNNNNNNNNNNNNNNNNNNNNNNNNNNNNNNNNNNNNNNNNNNNNNNNNNNNNNNNNNNNNNNNNNNNNNNNNNNNNNNNNNNNNNNNNNNNNNNGUUUUUUCGUCUCAUUAUAAGCAAGACAAAGGCCCUCCCUAACCUGAAUGCUUGUGUGGGACACAAACUCUCCACCCAGAUCGAAGCAUUUGAAGCUAGCACCCCGAGCGUGAUGUUUCGGUGCUUGUACGUGUGGAUAUCUUAGAGGCAUUCACCUCCGACGCUUCAACGAAUUGUUCAUGGGUUAGCGAGAAGUCUUAUUUAGGACCACGAGGAGCAGUACGACUACAUCGGCAUCGACGCGCAGCUCGACAGUCUUCCGCUACACUUGUAGGGGUUUUUGGGAUGAACGUGGUAGAAAAUUUUAAUUUAUGCUAGCGUAGCCUAUUCAUGCUCCAACAGCCAAACACAAAGUUAGGGAGGGGACAAGCAAGAGGCUAGCUGACUAGGGGAGGUCCAACGUUGGUUUUGGUUGAGGAAGCUGGCUGGUCUUUGUUGAGGACGACGCGAAGGAGAGAUUCCGAUGGUCGACGGCGACUAGGGCACUGGCAACAUGGCGGGCACUGGCAGGCGGCUCGUGCACUGUGCGAAUGUGGUCUCUGCCUCUAUGGAACGAAGGAACUACCUCAUGCGAGCAGUGGUUGUGUGGGCUUGAUGACAAGCAAGUGGAUACAAUUGGCCAGGCUGGUCCUUGAGCCUGUUAAUUGUUAAAGCCCGUCUAGUAGAUUUGCCACUGCUAUACCUUCCCUCGAAAAUCCUAUCUGGUUUUGCCAAGUUUUGUUGCCCAUUUCGAGAGGUUCAAGACCCUAUCUGUUUUUUUGGAGAAACGCAACAGAGACGUAAACACUCACGUGCAUACAUGCAAUGCACCCACAUGAUUGUAUACUGAAUAAAUUCAGAAAAAAUAUGAGCACUCUAGUAGGAUUUAAACAUAUGAAUGCCGGUUCCACCAAAAGAAAUCUAGCUGCAGGAGAGGACGAAGGCCUUGACAUGCAUGACAUGGAUCUUUCUCUAAGCUAGUGAUCUCCUCCUCCCGGACGGGCACCGACAAGUGGCUGGAGAGCCUUGACGACAAUGGUCAUGUUGGGCCUGAAGUCGGCUUCGUAUUGCACGCACAAGGCCGCCACUGCCGCGAGCUGAACACAAGCAAAGAAAUUCAUCAGUUAAAACCAAUGAAAACAAAUAGUGUGUUAUGAAAAAAUAGCGUGAUUCUUAAAAUUGCGCUAUUAGCAUGCUAUAUCGUGUUAUAGCAUGCUAUUAGCAAGGAAUUGUACACUGAUUUACUUAGCGAGACAUUUCUGAGAAUGCUAUGGCGUGUUAUUAGCGACGUUAUAGGGCGCUAUUUUUUUCACAGGUUAAAACAGAUAUAUCAGUGGGGAAUGGAAUCAUCGAUCAAUUUCUUUAGCUGGAUUACGCACCUUGGCCACUGCUUUUGGUGGGUAGUCGUUGUUGAGCUUGGGAUCGAUGCACUGCUUGACCUUGUCCUCGCUCAGUCUUGGCGUGGCCUGCAGCAGGAUCAAUGCCGAUCGUCACACAUGCAUUCUUGGAUGGUCUAAACGCUCUUAUAUUUCUUUACGGAUGGAGUACAAGCAAACAAGGGAGAAAUACAUACCCAGGUGACGAGGCUUUGCUGGCCCUUGGGCAUGGUGUGGUCGACGGGCUUCCUGCCGGUGAGGAGCUCGAGGAGGACGACCCCGAAGCUGUAGACGUCGCUCUUGUGCGUAAGCUGGCCGGUCAUGGCGUACUCGGGGGCGUGGUAGCCGAAGGUGCCGAGCACCUUGGUGGAGUGGAGGCGCGCGGCGGUGUCGGCGGACUGGUUGGUGAGGUUGAAGUCGGCGAUCUUGCCCUCGUGGCCGUCGAAGACGAGCACGUUGCUGGAGCGGACGUCGCGGUGGAUCACGGACGGCUGCACCUUCUCGUGCAGGUACUCGAGGCCCCUGGCGGCGCCGAGGGCCACCCGGGCGCGCUGGGCCCACGUGAGCGCCGGCCCGGGCUCGGCCCCCUGCACGCCCUUCUUCCCGUGCAGGAUGUCGUAGAGCGAGCCGUUGGUGGCGAACUCGUAGAGCACGAUCCGGUUGUUGAGCUCCAGGCAAUAGCCCAGCAGCUGCGUGAAGUGGUCGCACUUGAGCCGCGACACCACCGACAGCUGCGCGCAGAACUCCGCCUCCGACUGCCCGGAGCCGCCGUUGUCGAACAUCUUGACGGCCACGGUCUCACCAGUGACCAGCUUGGCGCGGUACACGCGGCCGUAGGAGCCCUCCCCGACCAGCGACCGGGCGCCGAAGUUGCCCGUGAGGCGGUUGAGCUCCGCCAGCGUGACCGCGGGGACGUCGAUGGGCAGCACCUUGGCUGGCCCCACGCCGUUUCUCGGCGCGUUAGGGCCUCGCGCUUGCGCUGCAAGAAUCAGAUCGAGCGAUCAAACUAACAGGCGUGAUAAUGCGAAUGCGUGUGGUGCAGGAAUGGAACGAAGAUUGUAAGAACCUGGUGGUCGCGGGGGCGGCGUGGCAAGGUUGCCGGCCGGCGGGCCGUGGUACUCCUCCUUCUCACCGGCGCAGCACCACAUCCUGGAUCCAAUAAAUGCACACGGCGGCAAGCUCAGCAGGAGCAACCCGAAGGGCGGUUUGGUCGUCUGGAUGAUGAGCUGCCGCUGGCUAUGUCAACUGGACAAGAUUGAGGCGGUCCGUCCUCCUCCUAUAUGGCAGAGGCUGGACUGCGCGGGGUGGGUGGUGGUGGUUAGGGGAUGAUGAGUUGCGACCUGAGAAGGCGCGGGCGAUUGCAAAUCAUCCGCUGGGCUACGUGCGGCCUGCGCAGUUGAUGUCGCACACGUUCGUUUUCUCUCUCUAGUCCCUCUGUACCGAGCCAACCAGCAACAUAGAUGCCACUGUCGUCCCUUUUUCCUGUCAUGUGUGGCAGCGGAUAAGCGUGGCGUGCGUACCCCCUGACAGGCAAACACAGUGGUCUGGUCUCCAGGAGAAGAGAUUGUUUAGUUUAUCUAUGGAACAAAAUGAAUUUCUUCUGGGCAGAGUUUGGGACUGCCAAAUUAGUUAAGGUGAUGCAUGCAUCAGAAGGUCCAGAAACUCAGAAGAAAACUGUGGUCAAACUGAUCGCCCACGUUUGUGCGCCGCAGCUCACUCCCGACGUGCUCGCGUCUCGCGUGCAACCAUUCACGUCUCGUCUCCAUGGCGACGCCCGCCCUUUGACCCACCCUGCCUUUGCAUCAUUUUGUUUUCUAAUCACAAGUUGUUGACCCGCCAACCGCAGGACAGGACUGCAACUGCAAGAAAAUGCCCAUGCAAUGCAUGCAUGUCCUCCAACUCCAAUUCAUGGAAUGCAGGGUUGGUUUCAGAUUGUCGGUCAUGCAGGAACGAAUGUGCCCAAAUAAGUUCAACAAGUUGAAGUUUUGACAUGCAAUUGUGUGUGUUGACAAGCAAAAGACCCACACGAGCAAUGCUAGAAAACAAAUUACAGGAACGGAGUCAAAAGGCACAAACAACAUAUAACCAGCAAAAAAAGACCUCCUCUCCAGCACCAGGCAAAGGUGGGGAGAUCCUCUUCUAAGCAUUCAACACUUUUAAAUCAUCACUGCUCCAACAUGCAUGCUGAUCCAACGUUAUGCAUGAGUCGAAAGAUUAACAUAUCAGUACACAUCUUAAUAAGAAGACAUAAAAACUGAAUGCUAAACAGGAGACUGCAGCUCCGUGAUGGGCUGAACUUGCCAACUUCAAGUGAAUAAAAUAUAUGUACAUGAAAGGAGAUCCAUGACCCGCACUGGAUCCUCUUCUAAUAGAGAGAAUUACAGCUUGUUAAAAAAGUAAACACGUAGUUAAACAGAGGGAUCAUGUACUGAGAAACGUAUAUACAGAUUUCGAAGUAUACAUGUACACGAUGACACCACCCAAGUCUUUUAGACCUUCAGGCAAGCUGCCUUGACGCCAUCGAACUUUUCUGACCAUCAAAGCUCAAGCCGCUUUCUUGCUCUUGAACCUGUUGGCGCACAGCACGUACACCAAAAAGUUGAGAAAGCUGAGCCCCGCGAGCAGCCAGAAGAAGUAAUCGAGACGCCCCUCGUUCAGGUUGUCGGGGAUCCACCCGGGUCUCCCUCCCCUGGUCGUGAAGUAGGCGACCAUCGUGAGGAUGAAGGCGCUGAGGUAGUUCCCGAGCGCGGUGGUGAUGAGCUGCAGCGCGCUGCAGAGGCUCCUCAUGGCGUCCGGCGACUGGUCGUAGAAGAACUCGAGCGCCCCGAUGAAGGUGAACACCUCCGAGGCGCCGACCAGGAAGUACUGAGGGAUUUGCCACAGGAUGCUCAGCGGAACCGGGACGUUCUGGUCCACCAGGUGCGCCUCCCUGGCGAUGGCCAGCCUCUUUAUCUCGAGGACCGCGGCUGCUGACAUUGCUAGGAUGGAGAUUACCAGGCCGAUGCCCAUCCGCUGCAGCUCUGAAAAGCCCCUCUCCUUGCCGGUGAACCUCCUGGCUAUCGGGACCAGGAUGCUGUCGUAGAUAGGAACCCAUAUAAUGACACUAACCACGUCAAAGGUGGAUAGAGAUGCUGGAGGGAUCUUGAAUGAGCCGAUUGUUGGAUCAAGCACCAUCCCUUGUUCCACAAACAUGGUGGACAUCUGAGCGUAGACAGCCGAGAAGACAAUUGUCGUUGCCCAGACAGGGAACAUCCUAACCAAUAUCUUCAGUUCUUCCACCUGGGUGACAGUGCAUACCCGCCAUGGGUUGUUGAAGCUAUCUUCUUUCACAUCAAGAUCAGUAAUUGUAGCUGCCCUGUCCAGACAUCUGAAAUAAAUGCUAGUUAGGAUUUGGAAAAAUAAGGUGAACAGAUUCACGAAAGCAAAAGGCUACUGUAUCUAGUUUUUUAAGUUGGAAUUUAUCAAAACUAUAUGUUAAUAAGAAUCAGAAACUAAUAAAGUUCAAAUACUUAUUUGCCCUAGAUCUUUACAGGUCAAUAAACUGAUUGGAGUUGUGGUGCUGUGCUGUACUGCUAUGCUCACCUGAGUUCAUCAGUGUGCUCCAAUUGCCGACUCCCUUCGAUUGCUGAAACCCCAUCUGGUAGCUCAUACAAGAGAGAGCUGUCCUCUGGAACAUGUGCAUUCCACUUGCGCAAAGUGGCAGCAACUACCUGGCAUACUCGUGUGAUAGGACUGCCACCUGGCUUUUGGAAUCUGUAGAGUGAGGUGCCAGCGAAGAAGCUUAUGAUGGCAAGACCCAUGAAUACUGUCGGAAUGCCAAAGCCUAAUCCCCAUCCUAAAUUGUCUUGCACCCAAACCAGAAAACUGCUUGAUAUAAGAGCACCAAUGUUUAUUGAAAAAUAGAACCAAUUGAAGAAAGACCCCUUCUGGAUUCGCUCAGCUGGAUCUGUGUCAUCAAAUUGAUCCGCUCCAAAAGAUGAGACACAUGGCUUGAUUCCACCAGUACCGAGCGCAAUCAGGUAAAGACCAAGAAAAAAUACGGUAUACUGCAAAGGACUGGCUUCUGGGCAAAUGGCUCCUUCACAAGAUGGAGGCAUGAGCAUAGGAACUGAUGCUGACAGAGUCAGUACUGACAUCCCCUACAAUUACAACAUGAGGUUAAGACAGAAUUGAGUUUAGCAGUCAGAUAUGAACCAACAGCUGGUACACAAGAACUAUAUGCACCUUUCACAGUAAUGCAUACAGCAGUUAAGAGAGUAUCAAGACAUCUAUUGUGAAAACGACGCAUCACAAGCAUAACUAUUUCAUAGGACAUACCCCAUAUCAAAGUAGUAUGCUAUUGUUCUAACCCUGUUGAGGAGGGUGAGAAUUUAUACUCUCAUAGCUCAUACAGUGCACGUCCUUUAAAUUUGAGGAAUCUAUAAGCACUUACACAUGACUUAGACAAAAUUUCAGUAAAAAUUACUUACAAUGAAGUAUAUUGUGGAGAACGUUGCGAUCGUCCAAUACCUCCCCCAGUAUGCAUCAGCCAGGAUAGCUCCAAUAAGGGGAGUCAAAUAGCAAGUUCCCUGCCAUGUAGUCACAUUUCUAGCAGCAGAGGAGUUACCAUCAUGUAGUUUUUUCGUCAAGUAAGUAACAAGGUUUGUCGAGAUGCCAUAAUAGGCCAACCGCUCGCAGCAUUCAUUACCUACAGGUUGGUUACAAUAGUUAUUACGCAUACAUAUAGUUAGUUGUAAACAAAAGAAUGCACUUGGAGACUGCUGCAAAAAAUUACCCAAGAUGAAUGGGCAUGCCUUCCAUCUACCAGUUUUCUCCUUCACGACAGGGUUUCCAGAAAAGUCGACGGAUCCGUCUCCAGUGUAUGUAAGUUGGUUGGAUUCCUGAAACCGGGAGUAUUUAGUGUGCUGUGUUAUAACUUAUCACAUAAUUAAUUAGUGGGCAAUUUUUCAUGACUGAAGAGUGAUUUAAAUCUAAGUAGGAGUCAAUGUACAUUGAUAGAUAGAAUUGCGUUACUCCAUUUUACAACAGUAAAGCAUUGCUGUCUUUUGCUUCGGCAAAAAAAAGAAGAUAUCUUUGGCUUUGGGGAGGAAAAUAUCUCUGUCUUUCAACGUAGGGGUAAUGCUUAAGAGAGACCAAGCAAAACAAAAUUCAGAGUAACUUGAUAUAUGCAAAAUGUAGCAAAUGUUUCAUUAUGCUGGUACCAUAGGCUGAUAUGUCCAGCUUAGGAAAACUUCAUUAUAGGAACAUACAUAAAUACUGAUCACCAGAAAUCCUGGCCAAGAAAUCCGAUACUGUCCAAGAGAACACCCUCAAAUCGCGUUUACUGAAACUAAACUGAAACAACGCGAAUCUCUCACGAUUGGAAUCUGAGACAUUAAACGGAUGGUCAUAUCUCAUAUGGAACACCAUAACCGAGAUACCAGGUCCUAGAUACUCCAUCUGGUGUUCCAUAUGGAGUAAUAGAUACAGAUAAAAGGGAAAUAUCUCAAUCCAAAUUCAGCGCAGCCGGUGGCCUAUGAAGCUACCUCUGGUUAGCCUUUGAUGUUGAUUAAACUGAACCAAACUGUAGAAUCACCUUCAACUAGAUGCGAUGAUCUGUUGUAAGACUAGGGAUCCCGCCUAAGCACGCGACCUCCGAUCGCACGGAACGGAAGGCACCAACCGAAACAAAAACUCAAGAAACGAGACGGCAGGACCGGACAGAGCAACCACUCACCUCCGGGUUAGCGAGGAGCCCCUGCUCCAGGGUGGGGUCGCCCGCCUCUGCCAUGGUGGAACGGCGAGCCUCCGGUCCGAUCGGCGCGCGAGAGAACGGCAGGUUGGGGCUGGGAUACUCUGCUCGGAAGCUGAAUAUAUGGAGGGAAACUUGUAGAUCUGGAUACGUAGGGUCCAAAGUCCAACCGGAAACAGUGAAGGGCACGGCACGAGCACCGGCUAGUCUUCGGGGUGGGAGUUGAGUUAGUUUGGAGAAGGAAUCUGGAGUCGGAGUGGUGGUUGGAGCCUGGAGGUCUUGGGGAGAACGACCGACUGGAACGAGGAGCACAAGAGGAUAAGCAAGCAAGGGGAAGGGGACGAAGGAAGGGAUCGGUGCCACUUGCGUGUCUCGGCAAUGUUUAAGGAUUCCUCCCAUCACCCUAGGCCAACUCCACCGCGCGACACCAAAUGGACGUCUGGUUUGGUCAGAUUUUGUCCCUUUGGAGCGGCAAUGGGUUCGCCCAUAUCCGCGUUUGUCCGAUGGAUCAUGGGUGCACCCAACACGCGGCCGCACAAAAACCUGUCCGGGAUGGACGUGAAUAAAAAAAUAUAAAAAUUUAAAUGAAAUGACUAAAAAAGUAAAUAAACGCAGUUAAAAAAACAUAAAACAUAUAUAGGGGUUACGGCCACAAAACGGCCCAGUUUCUCAGUCCACUUAAACGGCCCAGUUUCAUAAUUAACUUAAAACCAAAAUAAAAAAACGCCUCCCACGCGCUCCUGCCGCGCCCGUCGAUGUCGUGGCCGUCGCCGUCUUCACUGGCCGCCGGUGUCGUCGUCGUUGCUGACGAGGUCGACGUAGUCCGGCGGCGUCCACAGGUGGGCCGACGGUCCGUGGUGCACGGGGGCGGCGGGCUGGAAGGUGGCCGGUGCCUGCACCACCUCCUCCCGAGGCGAGGCCUCCCGCUCCGGCGACCGCAGCGGCGUGGGGCACCAGUUCACGGCCCCAGGGCGGCCGCCAUCUGCUCAGCGGAGCACGACCAACUCCACCCCUGGCCCACCAGGUCAGGGUGGAAUGCGGCCACCGGCGGCUCCUCCACCACCUCCUCCUUCGGCACCAUCUCCAGCUCGGGGAUGGCGACGUCGCCGGCCGCGGAGAGGGCCGUCAUCUCCUCGAGGCCCUCCCAUUGGCGCUCGUCGUGCGUGUGCAUGGAGUCCUCCAGCACACGCGCCAUGAGCCGGGCCUCCUCCUCCACCGUCAUGCGAGGAGGUGUGGGUGGCGAUGGAGAUGGCGACGGCGACGGCGUGGGCGUCAGGCCGCGCACUCGCGUACGCCCGCGCGCCUGGGGAGUCGCUCGGGGCUCACGUGGCCGUCGCGGCCCCGUCGACGUGCCGGCGAAGAACGACGCCCGCCGCACGUCGUGCUCAUCGCGGAGCCAAGUGUCCCUCAAUGGCGAGUCAGGGGCGUACCUCUCGUCGUAGUAGAGGUCGUCCGGGAGGAGGCGGCGGCGCUGGAUCUCCUGGCGGCGCGCACGGCCGCUCUGCGAGACGGGCGGGAUCGGCACGCGGUCGGCCGACAGGUGCCAGUUAUUGGGGAGGUGGACGUCGCUCCAUGGCAGCGGCGUCCUCGUCUCCCAAUAACGGCGACAGACGGCCGCCUCGAUGUAGUGCCGGUCGCGCUCACCGGCGGCCGUGGGUGCGAUGGAGAACGCGGGCGGCGCAGGGGCCCGCCGUGGUGGCGAUGGCGACGCGGGCUCUUCCUUCUUCACCGAGCCGCGGCGGCGUUCCGACGAGGAACCAGCCUCGCGGUCGUGCUUGCCUUUGCGACCGUAGUUCCAUAGCCCCAUGGCUGCGGGCGGCCGGCCGGCGAGUUCUUGGCUAGGGUUUGGGACUGGGGCUGUCGGGUUUCGAGGAGGCCGCGGGGUGGCGUUGGGCAGUGUGGACGACGACCGAUCCACGGUUCCCAUUUAAGAAGGACCGCGACCCCUCGCCUGGGCGGAUGACAGGCGGGGCCGCCCGCGCGUGCGCAUUGAUGUGGGCGGGUGGGAGGUAGGUGGCCGCCUGCCACGCGGCCCCGACGCGGACGAGGCGCGCGUCCAUUUGGUGUCCGCCGCGACCCAAACCCGGCGCAAGUUUGCGCUCGAAAUGGGCUGACCCGGACACAAAACGGACCAGAUGGGUCUGGGCCGUCACGCACUGGGCCGCCUCGCUUGUCCGAUUUACCCUAAACGGACGGGGCCGGACAGGAUAGAGUCGCGCGAUGGAGUUGGCCUUAUUUGAUUCAUCAGAUUCUUGAUGCCAACCAAAGUAGUGGUUGCAUUUGUGAGUCCCACUUCGAUGCUCCGUCGGUUGGAACGGCAAUGUCAAGCUCUCGCCACUAAGCAAUAAAAACUAUGCAUGUAUUUGUAAUCACUGUUUGCAUUUUAGUUUUAUUAAUAGUGCCAUUUUCUAGCCACCAGACAACUCACUUAUUUUUUUUUUGAGGGUUGAGAACUCACUCAUGUGACCAAGACACACGGCCUUGAUCAGCGCACGGCAUAAAUCGGGCUCUCUUGUAAGACCAUCUCUGACAGCUCCGGUAAAAAACUCACCGUAAAAGUGAUUUUACGGGCUACGGGUUGUUCAUAAAAUUUAGGGGAAGUUGAUAGGUGGGGAUGUUUUUCACAGUUGUCGUAAAAACUUCUCCUAAAGGUGGUUUUUGGCGGUGGCACGACAGUGACGGCGAACUCCGGCGGCGGCUGACAGCCGACGACAGUGGUCAGCGGUGGCAGUGGUCGGUGAAGGCCGCGGUCGAUGGCAUGGUGGGUGUGACAGCGGCGCGGCGGACUAUAGUGGCGGUUAGCUGAUGAGGCACUUUUAUGGGAAAGGCCAUCUUCCCGUAGAUGAAGGGUAAUUUUUUAGAAUUUUGGAAUCGGGUAAAAAAAUUACGCAUGUAUGUUUUUUCACGAAUACACAAAGCUUAUCUAUUUUUUCAUUGAUAGAAGAAAGAGAACAUGUAACGGAACCGUGCACGCUUUGGCUAUACGUAAUCAGAUUAGCUACCACGUCCCUGGCGGCUGGAACCCUAGCCGCCGCCAGGGGAAGCCGAUCUUUCAACGCCGCUCUCCGGCGGCUCCCCUCCGCCGGCGACCUCGGUCGUCGGUGGUGAGGGGGGUCGCCGGAUUCACGUGUGUGGAUUGCUUUUACUCUCUCGUAGUCUAGGUUUUUAGGUUGUUCAUCGUUUUUGCUUCGGCGGCGACGAGGACAAUGCUGAAUAAAGAUUCUUCGGAUCCUUCCCUAACGAGGCCAUCGGUCCUAUGGUUGGGGAUGGAUUUGGAAACCAGUCCGUUCAAGCAAGGAUGGCGUGGUGGCGGCGACAUCCUCGUGGUGGACCUGUGUCCUCGGGCUCCGCCGUUGCGACGGCGUUUGCUCCAGCGUCGGCGCGGAGCUUGGGAGGUAGUCCAGGAGCGGAUGCAGAUUGUGGUCUGCAUCGACGACAUCUGGAAGACGGAGAAUGUGCUGGGCUCGUGGUUCGUGGAUGGCAGAUAUGGUUUCCUCCUUCGGCGUUUAGUCGUGGUGGGGUGCCAGAUCUGAAGUUUGAUGGCGUGUCCGGGGUGUUGCCCCGGUCUGAUUCGUUCAACGGUAAGGGCUUCACUUUUGGUGAGCCACCUUGGAGGUCCGCAAAGCUGCACAUCAGCGAUGGAGCCGCGUCGAGCUCGGGUCUGGAGGUGAUUCGUCAUUCUUUUCUUCGGUGGCUGCUGUGGUGGUGCCGGAGGCAGGUGACGGGCGUUGGUGUCAAGCUCAGAGAUGUUCUGCUAUCUUUUCAGUUUUGUCAUGUCGGUCUUUACGUGACUUGUACUUUGUUCUUUAUGAUAUGAAUGAGAUACGUAUUGCCAUGAAAAAAAGAAAAGAAGAAAGAGAACAUAACCCCCCCUCCCGGUCCAGACUCUAGCCAUGGAAGGCGAGGUGAUGGGACACCAGAAACCCGGACGUUGUCGCGACCUCAUGAGAACCCCCGCCGAGCAGCCACGGCUCCAAAAUUGAUUGGAGCAACAUACCCAACCAGAGCGCCAGGAGAGCGACAAGUGGGCUGCAAGACCCGGCCUAGUCGGAGGCGGAAGACAUGGGAAGCACCCUGGAAAUCGUACAUUGCGCCUUGGAAGCCCACGCCUUGAGCGGUAGCCCGAACCAAUAUUGUUGGGAAUCGUUGCAUAGAAAACAAAAAAAUUCUAUGCACACGCAAUGAUCUAUCCAUGGAGAUGCAUAGCAACGAGGGGGAGAGUGUGUCUACGUACCCUCGUAGACCGUAAGCGGAAGCGUUUCACAACGCGGUUGAUGUAGUCGAACAUUUUCGCGCUUCAACCUAUGAAUCGAACGCACGGCACCUCCGCGUUCUGCACACGUUCAGCUCGGUGACGUCCCUCGCCUUCUUGAUCCAGCAAGACGUCGAUGUAGUAGAUGAGUUCCGUCAGCACGACGGCGUGGUGACGGUGAUGGUGAAGUGAUCUCCGCGGGGCUUCGCCUAAGCACAACGAAAAUAUGACCAGGGGUGUAAACGGUGGAGUGGGGCGCCGCACACGGCUAGGCAAUUGUCUGUUGUGUGCUAGGCGCCCCCCUCCCACAUAUAUAUAGGUGGGAGGGAGGGACGAACAACCAUAGGAGGCGCCUAAGUAGGAGGAAUCCUACUUGGAGUCCCUCCCAAGCCGCGCCCCCUGCCAUAUAUAACCGAGGGAGAAGGAAAGAGGGGGGGGGGGAGGGAAGGAAGUGGGAAUCCUAAUCCACAACUUCCUUUCCCUUCUCCCCUUUCCUUCCCCUCCAUAGGCUGGCCCAUAUGGGGGGCGCACCAACCCCUUGUGGCUGGUGUGUUUCCCCUCUUGGUGUUGGGGAACGUAGUAAUUUCAAAAAAAUUCCUACGCACACACAGGAUCAUGGUGAUGCAUAGCAACGAGAGGGGAGAGUGUUGUCCACGUACCCUCGUAGACUGAAAGCGGAAGCAUUAGCACAACGCGGUUGAUGUAGUCGUACGUCUUCACGAUCCGACCGAUCCAAGUACCGAACGUACGGCACCUCCGAGUUCAGCACACGUUCAGCUCGAUGACGUCCCACGAACUCCGAUCCAGCAGAGCUUCACGGGAGAGUUCCGUCAGCACGACGGCGUGGUAAUGGUGAUGAUGUUGCUACCGACGCAGGGCUUCGCCUAAGCACCGCUACGAUAUGACCGAGGUGGAAUAUGGUGGGGGGGGGGGCACCGCACACGGCUGGAAUAGAUCAAUAGAUCAACUUGUGUGUCUAGAGGUGCCCCCCUGCCCCCGUAUAUAAAGGAGCAAGGGGGGAGAGGCGGCCGGCCAGGGAGGACGCGCCAAGGGGGGAGUCCUACUCCCACCGGGAGUAGGACUCCUCCUUUCCUAGUAGGAGUAGGAGAAGGGGGGAAGGAGGGGGUGGAGAGAAGGAAGGAGAGGGGGGCCGCCCCCCCUUCCCUUGUCCAAUUCGGACUGGGGCAAGGGGGGCCGUGCGCCACCUCCUGGCUGCCCUCUCUCUUCUCUACUAAGGCCCAAUAGGCCCAUUACUUCCCCCGGGGGGUCCGGUAACCCCCGGUAAAAUCCCGAUUUCACCCGGAACACUUCCGAUAUCCAAAUAUAGGCUUCCAAUAUAUCAAUCUUUAUGUCUCGAGCAUUUCGAGACUCCUCGUCAUGUCCGUGAUCAUAUCCGGGACUCCGAACUACCUUCGGUACAUCAAAACACAAAACUCAUAAUAUCGAUCGUCAUCUAACUUUCAUCGUGCGGACCCUACGGGUUCGAGAACUAUGUAGACAUGACCGAGACACGUCUCCGGUCAAUAACCAAUAGCGGAACCUGGAUGCUCAUAUUGGCUCCUACAUAUUCUACGAAGAUCUUUAUCGGUCAAACCGCAUAACAACAUACAUUGUUCCCUUUGUCAUCGGUAUGUUACUUGCCCGAGAUUCGAUCGUCGGUAUCUCAAUACCUAGUUCAAUCUCGUUACCGGAAAGUCUCUUUACUCGUUCCGUAAUACAUCAUCUCGCAACUAACUCAUUAGUUACAAUGCUUGCAAGGCUUAUAGUGAUGUGCAUUUAUCGAGAGGGCCCAGAGAUACCUCUCCGACAAUCGGAGUGACAAAUCCUAAUAUCGAAAUACGCCAACUCAACAAGUACCUUCGAAGACACCUGUAGAGCACCUUUAUAAUCACCCAGUUACGUUGUGACGUUUGGUAGCACACAAAGUGUUCCUCCGGUAAACGGGAGUUGCAUAAUCUCAUAGUCACAGGAACAUGUAUAAGUCAUGAAGAAAGCAAUAGCAACAUACUAGGGCAUAUUUCCUUCAGUCUCCCACUUGCACUAGAGUCAAUAAUCUAGAUUACACAGUAAUGAUUCUAACACCCAUGGAGCCUUGGUGCUGAUCAUGUUUUGCUCGUGGAAGAGACUUAGUCAACGGGUCUGCAACAUUCAGAUCCGUAUGUAUCUUGAAAAUUUCUAUGUCUCCCACCUGGACUUGAUCCCGGAUGGAGUUGAAGCAUCUCUUGAUGUGCUUGGUUCUCUUGUGAAAUCUGGAUUCCUUUGCCAAGGCAAUUGCACCAGUAUUGUCACAGAAGAUUUUCAUUGGACCCGAUGCACUAGGUAUGACACCUAGAUCGGAUAUGAACUCCUUCAUCCAGACUCCUUCAUUUGCAGCUUCCGAAGCAGCUAUGUACUCCGCUUCACACGUAGAUCCCGCCACAACGCUUUGUUUAGAACUGCACCAACUGACAGCUCCACCGUUCAAUGUAAACACGUAUCCGGUUUACGAUUUAGAAUCGUCCGGAUCAGUGUCAAAGCUUGGAUCGACGUAACCAUUUUUGACUAGCUCUUUGUCACCUCCAUAAACGAGAAACAGAUCCUUAGUCAUUUUCAGGUAUUUCAGGAUGUUCUUGACCGUUGUCCAGUGAUCCACUCCUGGAUUACUUUGGUACCUCCCUGCUAGGCUAAUAGCAAGACACACAUCAGGUCUGGUACACAGCAUUGCAUACAUGAUAGAGCCUAUGGCCGAAGCAUAGGGUGAAGGAAAUAUGCCCUAGAGGCAAUAAUAAAGUUAUUAUUUAUUUCCUUAUAUCAUGAUAAAUGUUUAUUAUUCAUGCUAGAAUUGUAUUAACCGGAAACAUAAUACUUGUGUGAAUACAUAGACAAACAGAGUGUCACUAGUAUGCCUCUACUUGACUAGCUCGUUGAUCAAAGAUGGUUAUGUUUCCUAGCCAUUGACAUGAGUUGUCAUUUGAUUAACGAGAUCACAUCAUUAGGAGAAUGAUGUGAUUGACUUGACCCAUUCCGUUAGCUUAGCACACGAUCGUUUAGUAUUCUGCUAUUGCUUUCUUCAUGACUUAUACAUGUUCCUAUGACUAAGAGAUUAUGCAACUCCCGUUUACCGGAGGAACACUUUGUGUGCUACCAAACGUCACAAUGUAACUGGGUGAUUAUAAAGGUGCUCUACAGGUGUCUCCGAAGGUACUUGUUGGGUUGGCGUAUUUCGAGAUUAUGAUUUGUCACUCCGAUUGUCGGGGAGGAAUUUCUGGGCCCACUCGGUAAUGCACAUCACUAUAAGCCUUGCAAGCAUUGUAACUAAUGAGUUAGUUGCGGGAUGAUGUAUUAUGGAACAAGUAAAGAGACUUGCCGGUAACGAGAUUGAACUAGGUAUUAAGAUACCGAUGAUCGAAUCUCGGGCAAGUAACAUACCGAUGACAAAGGGAACAACGUAUGUUGUUAUGCGGUUUGACCGAUAAAGAUCUUUGUAGAAUAUGUGGGAGCCAAUAUGAGCAUACAGGUUCCGCUAUUGGUUAUUGACCGGAGACGUGUCUCGGUCAUGUCUACAUAGUUCUCGAACCCGUAGGGUCCGCACGCUUAAAGUUCGAUGACGGUUAUAUUAUGAGUUUAUGUGUUUUGAUGUACCGAAGGUAGUUCGGAGUCCCGUAUGUGAUCACGGACAUGACGAGGAGUCUCAAAAUGGUCGAUACAUAAAGAUUGAUAUAUUGGAAGCCUAUAUUUGGAUAUCGGAAGUGUUCCGGGUGAAAUCGGGAUUUUACCGGAGUACCGGGGGUUACCGGAACACCCCCGGGGGUUUAAUGGGCCAAGAUGGGCCUUAGUGGAGAAGAGGAGGGGCGGCCAGGGCAGGCCGCGCCCCCUUCCUCUGUAGUCCGAAUUGGACAAGGAGGGGGGGGCGGCGCCCCCCUUUCCUUCCUCUCUCCCUCCUCCUUCCCCCUUCUCCUACUCCAACUAGGAAAGGAGGGAGUCCUACUCCCGGUGGGAGUAGGACUCCUCCCUGGCGCGCCUCCUCCUGGCCGGCCGCUUCUCCCCCCUUGCUCCUUUAUAUACGAGGGCAGGGGGCACCUCUAGACACAACAAUUGAUCCCUUGGAUCUCUUAGCCGUGUGCGGUGCCCCCCUCCACCAUAGUCCACCUCGAUAAUAUCGUAGCGGUGCUUAGGCGAAGCCAUGCGUCGGUAGAACAUCAUCAUCGUCACCACGCCGUCGUGCUGACGGAACUCUCCCUCAAAGCUCGGCUGGAUCGGAGUUCUAGGGACGUCAUCGAGCUUAACGUGUGCUGAACUCGGAGGUGCCGUACGUUCGGUACUUGAUCGGUCGGAUCGUGAAGACGUACGACUACAUCAACCGCAUUGUGCUAACGCUUCCGCUUUCGGUCUACGAGGGUACGUGGACAACACUCUCCCCUCUCGUUGCUAUGCAUCACCAUGAUCCUGUGUGUGCGUAGGAUUUUUUUUGAAAUUACUACGUUCUGCAACAGUGGCAUCCGAGCCAGGUUUUAUGCGUAGAUGUUAUAUGCACGAGUAGAACACAAGUGAGUUGUGGGCGAUACAAGUCAUACUGCUUACCAGCAUGUCAUACUUUGGUUCGGCGGUAUUGUUGGAUGAAGCGGCCCGGACCGACAUUACGCGUACGCUUACGCGAGACUGGUUCUACCGACGUGCUUUGCACACAGGUGGCUGGCGGGUGUCAGUUUCUCCAACUUUAGUUGAACUGAGUAUGGCUACGCCCGGUCCUUGAGAAGGUUAAAACAGCACUAACUUGACGAACUAUCGUUGUGGUUUUGAUACGUAGGUAAGAACGGUUCUUGCUUAGCCCGUAGCAGCCAUGUAAAACUUGCAACAACAAAGUAGAGGACGUCUAACUUGUUUUUGCAGGGCAUGUUGUGAUGUGAUAUGGUCAAGGCAUGAUGCUAUAUUUUAUUGUAUGAGAUGAUCAUGUUUUGUAACCGAGUUAUCAGCAACUGGCAGGAGCCAUAUGGUUGUCGCUUUAUUGUAUGCAAUGCAAACGCCCUGUAAUGCUUUACUUUAUCACUAAGUGGUAGCGAUAGUCGUAGAAGUAUAAGUUGGCGAGACGACAACGAUGCUACGAUGGAGAUCAAGGUGUCGCGCCGGUGAUGAUGGUGAUCAUGACGGUGCUUCGGAGAUGGAGAUCACAAGCACAAGAUGAUGAUGGCCAUACCAUAUCACUUAUAUUGAUUGCAUGUGAUGUUUAUCUUGUAUGCAUCUUAUCUUGCUUUGAUUGACGGUAGCAUUAUAAGAUGAUCUCUCACAAAAUUAUCAAGGUAUAAGCGUUCUCCCUGAGUAUGCACCGUUGCGAAAGUUCUUCGUGCUGAGACACCACGUGAUGAUCGGGUGUGAUAGGCUCUACGUUCAAAUACAACGGGUGCAAAACAGUUGCACACACGGAAUACUCAGGUUAAACUUGACGAGCCUAGCAUAUGCAGAUAUGGCCUCGGAACACUAAGACCGAAAGGUCGAGCGUGAAUCAUAUAGUAGAUAUGAUCAACAUAGUGAUGUUCACCAUUGAAACUACUCCAUCUCACGUGAUGAUCGGACAUGGUUUAGUUGAUUUGGAUCACGUGAUCACUUAGAGGAUUAGAGGGAUGUCUAUCUAAGUGGGAGUUCUUAAGUAAUAUGAUUAAUUGAACUUAAAUUUAUCAUGAACUUAGUACCUGAUAGUAUUUUGCUUGUCUAUGUUGAUUGUAGAUAGAUGGCCCGUGCUGUUGUUCCAUUGAAUUUUAAUGCGUUCCUUGAGAAAGCAAAGUUGAAAGAUGAUGGUAGCAAAUUACAUGGACGGGGUCCGUAACUUGAGGAUUAUCCUCAUUGCUGCACAGAAGAAUUACAUCCUGGAAGCACCGCUAGGUGCCAGACCUGCUGCAGGAGCAACACCAGAUGUUAUGAACGUCUGGCAGAGCAAAGCUGAUGACUACUCAAUAGUUCAGUGUGCCAUGCUUUACGGCUUAGAACCGGGACUUCAACGACGUUUUGAACGUCAUGGAGCAUAUGAGAUGUUCCAGGAGUUGAAGUUAAUAUUUCAAGCAAAUGCCCGGAUUGAGAGAUAUGAAGUCUCCAAUAAGUUCUACAGCUGUAAGAUGGAGGAGAAUAGUUCUGUCAGUGAGCAUAUACUCAGAAUGUCUGGGUAUAACAAUCACUUGAUUCAACUGGGAGUUAAUCUUCCGGAUGAUAGCGUCAUUGACAGCAUUCUUCAAUCACUGCCACCAAGCUACAAGAGCUUCGUGAUGAACUAUAACAUGCAAGGGAUGGAUAAGACGACUCCCGAGCUCUUCGCAAUGCUAAAGGCUGCGGAGGUAGAAAUCAAGAAGGAGCAUCAAGUGUUGAUGGUCAAAAAGACCACCAGUUUCAAGAAAAAGGGCAAAGGGAACAAGAAGGGGAACUUCAAGAAGAACAGCAAACAAGUUGCUGCUCAGGAGAAGAAACCCAAGUCUGGACCUAAGCCUGAGACUGAGUGCUUCUAUUGCAAACAGACUGGUCACUGGAAGCGGAACUGCCCCAAGUAUUUGGCGGAUAAGAAGGAUGGCAAGGUGAACAAAGGUAUAUGUGAUAUACAUGUUAUUGAUGUGUACCUUACUAAUGCUCGCAGUAGCACCUGGGUAUUUGAUAAUGGUUCUGUUGCUAAUAUUUGCAACUCGAAACAGGGACUACGGAUUAAGCGAAGAUUGGCUAAGGACGAGGUGACGAUGCACGUGGGAAAUGGUUCCAAAGUCGAUGUGAUCGCGGUCGGCACGCUACCUCUACAUCUACCUUCGGGAUUAGUUUUAGACCUGAAUAAUUGUUAUUUGGUGCCAGCGUUGAGCAUGAACAUUAUAUCUGGAUCUUGUUUGAUGCGAGACGGUUAUUCAUUUAAAUCAGAGAAUAAUGGUUGUUCUAUUUAUAUGAGUAAUAUCUUUUAUGGUCAUGCACCCUUGAAGGGUGGUCUAUUUUUGUUGAAUCUCGAUAGUAGUGAUACACAUAUUCAUAAUAUCGAAGCCAAAAGAUGCAGAGUUGAUAAUGAUAGUGCAACUUAUUUGUGGCACUGCAGUUUAGGUCAUAUUGGUGUAAAGUGCAUGAAGAAACUCCAUACUGAUGGACUUUUGGAACCACUUGAUUAUGAAUCACUUGGUACUUGCGAACCGUGCCUCAUGGGCAAGAUGACUAAAACGCCGUUCUCCAGAACUAUGGAGCGAGCAACAGAUAUGUUGGAAAUCAUACAUACAGAUGUAUGUGGUCCGAUGAAUGUUGAGGCUCGCGGCGGGUAUCGUUAUUUUCUCACCUUCAUAGAUAAUUUAAGCAGAUAUGGGUAUAUCUACUUAAUGAAACAUAAGUCUGGAACAUUUGAAGAGUUCAAAGAAUUUCAGAGUGAAGUUGAAAAUCAUCGUAACAAGAAAAUAAAGUUUCUAUUAUCUGAUUGUGGAGGAGAAUAUUUGAGUUACGAGUUUGGUCUUCAUUUGAAACAAUGCGGAAUAGUUUCGCAACUCACGCCACCCGGAACACCACAGUGUAAUGGUGUGUCCGAACAUCGUAAUCGUACUUUACUAGAUAUGGUGCGAUCUAUGAUGUCUCUUACUGAUUUACCGCUAUCAUUUUGGGGUUAUGCUUUAGAGACGUCUGCAUUCACGUUAAAUAGGGCACCAUCAAAAUCCGUUGAGACGACGCCUUAUGAACUGUGGUUUGGCAAGAAACUAAAGUUGUCGUUUCUUAAAGUUUGGGGCUGCGAUGCUUAUGUGAAAAAACUUCAACCUGAUAAGCUCGAACCCAAAUCGGAGAAAUGUGUCUUCAUAGGAUACCCAAAGGAAACUGUUGGGUACACCUUCUAUCACAGAUCUGAAGGCAAGACUUUUGUUGCUAAAUUUGGAUCCUUUCUAGAGAAAGAGUUUCUCUCGAAAGAAGUGAGUGGGAGGAAAGUAGAACUUGAUGAGGUAACUGUACCUGCUCCCUUAUUGGAAAGUAGUUCAUCACAGAAACCGGUUCCUAUGACACCUACACCAAUUAGUGAGGAAGUUAAUGAUGAUGAUCAUGAAACUUUAGAUCAAGUUGUUACUGAACCUCGUAGGUCAACCAGAGUAAGAUCCGCACCAGAGUGGUACGGUAAUCCUGUUCUUGAGGUUAUGUUACUAGACCAUGACGAACCUACGAACUAUGAAGAAGUGAUGGUGAGCCCAGAUUCCGCAAAAUGGCUUGAGGCCAUGAAAUCUGAGAUGGGAUCCAUGUAUGAGAACAAAGUGUGGACUUUGGUUGACUUGCCCGAUGAUCGGCAAGCCAUUGAGAAUAAAUGGAUCUUCAAGAAGAAGACUGACGCUGACGGUAAUGUUACUGUCUAUAAAGCUCGACUUGUUGCAAAAGGUUCUCGACAAGUUCAAGGGAUUGACUACGAUGAGACUUUCUCACCCGUAGCGAUGCUUAAGUCUGUACGAAUCAUGAUAGCAAUUGCCGCAUUUUAUGAUUAUGAAAUUUGGCAAAUGGAUGUCAAAACUGCAUUCCUGAAUGGAUUUCUGGAAGAAGAGUUGUAUAUGAUGCAGCCGGAAGGUUUUGUCAAUCCAAAGGGAUCUAACAAAGUGUGCAAGCUCCAGCGAUCCAUUUAUGGACUGGUGCAAGCCUCUUGGAGUUGGAAUAAACGCUUUGAUAGUGUGAUCAAAGCAUAUGGUUUUAUACAGACUUUUGGAGAAGCCUGUAUUUACAAGAAAGUGAGUGGGAGCUCUGUAGCAUUUCUGAUAUUAUAUGUGGAUGACAUAUUGCUGAUUGGAAAUGAUAUAGAAUUUCUGGAUAGCAUAAAGGGAUACUUGAAUAAGAGUUUUUCAAUGAAGGACCUCGGUGAAGCUGCUUAUAUAUUGGGCAUCAAGAUCUAUAGAGAUAGAUCAAGACGCUUAAUUGGACUUUCACAAAGCACAUACCUUGACAAAGUUUUGAAGAAGUUCAAAAUGGAUCAAGCAAAGAAAGGGUUCUUGCCUGUGUUACAAGGUGUGAAGUUGAGUAAGACUCAAUGCCCGACCACUGCAGAAGAUAGAGAGAAGAUGAAAGAUGUUCCCUAUGCUUCAGCCAUAGGCUCUAUCAUGUAUGCAAUGCUGUGUACCAGACCUGAUGUGUCCCUUGCUAUAAGUUUAGCAGGGAGGUACCAAAGUAAUCCAGGAGUGGAUCACUGGACAACGGUCAAGAACAUCCUGAAAUACCUGAAAAUGACUAAGGAUCUGUUUCUCGUUUAUGGAGGUGACAAAGAGCUAGUCAAAAAUGGUUACGUCGAUCCAAGCUUUGACACUGAUCCGGACGAUUCUAAAUCGUAAACCGGAUACGUGUUUACAUUGAACGGUGGAGCUGUCAGUUGGUGCAGUUCUAAACAAAGCGUUGUGGCGGGAUCUACGUGUGAAGCGGAGUACAUAGCUGCUUCGGAAGCUGCAAAUGAAGGAGUCUGGAUGAAGGAGUUCAUAUCCGAUCUAGGUGUCAUACCUAGUGCAUCGGGUCCAAUGAAAAUCUUCUGUGACAAUACUGGUGCAAUUGCCUUGGCAAAGGAAUCCAGAUUUCACAAGAGAACCAAGCACAUCAAGAGAUGCUUCAACUCCAUCCGGGAUCAAGUCCAGGUGGGAGACAUAGAAAUUUUCAAGAUACAUACGGAUCUGAAUGUUGCAGACCCGUUGACUAAGUCUCUUCCACGAGCAAAACAUGAUCAGCACCAAGGCUCCAUGGGUGUUAGAAUCAUUACUGUGUAAUCUAGAUUAUUGACUCUAGUGCAAGUGGGAGACUGAAGGAAAUAUGCCCUAGAGGCAAUAAUAAAGUUAUUAUUUAUUUCCUUAUAUCAUGAUAAAUGUUUAUUAUUCAUGCUAGAAUUGUAUUAACCGGAAACAUAAUACUUGUGUGAAUACAUAGACAAACAGAGUGUCACUAGUAUGCCUCUACUUGACUAGCUCGUUGAUCAAAGAUGGUUAUGUUUCCUAGCCACUGACAUGAGUUGUCAUUUGAUUAACGAGAUCACAUCAUUAGGAGAAUGAUGUGAUUGACUUGACCCAUUCCGUUAGCUUAGCACACGAUCGUUUAGUAUUCUUCUAUUGUUUUCUUCAUGACUUAUACAUGUUCCUAUGACUAUGAGAUUAUGCAACUCCCGUUUACCGGAGGAACACUUUGUGUGCUACCAAACGUCACAACGUAACUGGGUGAUUAUAAAGGUGCUCUACAGGUGUCUCCGAAGGUACUUGUUGGGUUGGCGUAUUUCGAGAUUAGGAUUUGUCACUCCGAUUGUCUGGGAGGUAUCUCUGGGACCACUCGGUAAUGCACAUCACUAUAAGACUUGCAAGCAUUGCAACUAAUGAGUUAGUUGCGGGAUGAUGUAUUACGGAACGAGUAAAGAGACUUGCUGGUAACGAGAUUGAACUAGGUAUUAAGAUACCGAUGAUCGAAUCUCGGGCAAGUAACAUACCGAUGACAAAGGGAACAACGUAUGUUGUUAUGCGGUUUGACCGAUAAAGAUCUUUGUAGAAUAUGUGGGAGCCAAUAUGAGCAUCCAGGUUCCGCUAUUGGUUAUUGACCGGAGACGUGUAUCGGUCAUGUCUACAUAGUUCUCGAACCCGUAGGGUCCGCACGCUCAAAGUUCGAUGACGGUUAUAUUAUGAGUUUAUGUGUUUUGAUGUACCAAAGGUAGUUUAGAGUCCCGGAUGUGAUCACAGACAUGACGAGGAGUCUCGAAAUGGUCGAGACAUAAAGAUUGAUAUAUUGGAAGCCUAUAUUUGGAUAUCAGAAGUGUUCCGGGUGAAAUCGGGAUUUUACCGGAGUACCGGGGGUUACCGGAACCCCCCGGGGGUUUAAUGGGCCAAGAUGGGCCUUAGUGGAGAAGAGGAGGGGCGGCCAGGGCAGGCCGCACGCCCCCUCCCCCUCUAGUCCGAAUUGGACAAGGAGGGGGGGGGGCGGCGCCCCCCUUUCCUUCCUCUCUCCCUCCUCCUUCCCCCUUCUCCUACUUCAACUAGGAAAGGAGGGAGUCCUACUCCCGGUGGGAGUAGGACUACUCCCCGGCGCGCCUCCUCCUGGCCGGCCGCCUCUCCCCCCUUGCUCCUUUAUAUACGGGGGCAGGGGGCACCUCUAGACACAACAAUUGAUCCCUUGGAUCUCUUAGCCGUGUGCGGUGCCCCCCUCCACCAUAGUCCACCUCGAUAAUAUCGUAGCGGUGCUUAGGCGAAGCCCUACGUCGGUAGAACAUCAUCAUCGUCACCACGCCGUCGUGCUGACGGAACUCUCCCUCAAAGCUCGGCUGGAUCAGAGUUCGAGGGACGUCAUCGAGCUGAACGUGUGCUGAACUCGGAGGUGUCGUACGUUCGGUACUUGAUCGGUCAGAUCGUGAAGACGUACGACUACAUCAACCGCGUUGUGCUAACGCUUCCGCUUUCGGUCUACGAGGGUACAUGGACAACACUCUGCCCUCUCGGUGCUAUGCAUCACCAUGAUCCUGUGUGUGCGUAGAUUUUUUUUCGAAAUUACUACGUUCCCCAACAUAGGGAACAUCUUUCAUUUUCUCUCUAUCUUCUGCAAUGGUCGGGCAUUGAGUCUGACUCAACUUCACACCUUGUAACACAGGGAAGAACCCUUUCUUUGCUUGAUCCAUUUUGAACUUCUUGAAAACUUUGUCAAGGUAUGUGCUUUGUGAAAGUCCUAUCAAGCGUCUUGAUCUAUCUCUAUAGAUCUUGAUGCCUAAUAUGUAAGUAGCUUCACCGAGGUCUUUCAUUGAAAAACUCUUAUUCAAGUAUCCUUUUAUGCUAUCCAGAAAUUCUAUAUCAUUUCCAAUCAGCAAUAUGUCAUCCACAUAUAAUAUCAGAAAUGCUACAGAGCUCCCACUCACUUUCUUGUAAAUACAGGCUUCUCCAAAAGUCUGUAUAAAACCAUAUGCUUUGAUCACACUAUCAAAGCGUUUAUUCCAACUCUAAGAGGCUUACACCAGUCCAUAAAUGGAUCGCUGGAGCUUGCACACUUUGUUAGCUCCUUUUGGAUCGACAAAACCUUCCGGUUGCAUCAUAUACAACUCUUCUUCCAGAAAUCCAUUCAGGAAUGCAGUUUUGACGUCCAUUUGCCAAAUUUCAUAAUCAUAAAAUGCGGCAAUUGCUAACAUGAUUCGGACGGACUUAAGCAUCGCUAAGGGUGAGUAGGUCUCAUCGUAGUCAAUUCCUUGAACUUGUCGAAAACCUUUUGCAACAAGUCGAGCUUUGUAGACAGUAACAUUACCGUCCGCGUCUGUCUUCUUCUUGAAGAUCCAUUUAUUCUCGAUGGCUUGCCGAUCAUCGGGCAAGUCAACCAAAGUCCAUACUUUGUUCUCAUACAUGGAUCCCAUCUCAGAUUUCAUGGCCUCAAGCCAUUUUGCGGAAUCUGGGCUCACCAUCGCUUCUACAUAGUUCGUAGGUUCGCCUUGGUCAAGUAACAUGACCUCCAAAAUAGGAUUACCGUACCACUCUGGUGCGGAUCUUACUCUGGUUGACCUACGAGGUUCAGUAGUAACUUGAUCCAAAGUUUCAUGAUCAAUAUCAUUAGCUUCCUCACUAAUUGGUGUAGGUGUCACAGGAACCGGUUUCUGUGAUGAACUACUUUCCAAUAAGGGAGCAGGUACAGUUACCUCAUCAAGUUCUACUUUCCUCCCACUCACUUCUUUCGAGAGAAACUCCUUCUCUAGAAAGGAUCCAUUCUUAGCAACGAAUGUCUUGCCUUCGGAUCUGUGAUAGAAGGUGUACCCAACAGUUUCCUUUGGGUAUCCUAUGAAGACACAUUUCUCUGAUUUGGGUUCGAGCUUAUCAGGUUGAAGCUUUUUCACAUAAGCAUCGCAGCCCAAACUUUAAGAAAGGACAACUUUGGUUUCUUGCCAAACCACAGUUCAUAAGGCGUCGGCUCAACGGAUUUCGAUGGUGCCCUAUUUAACGUGAAUGCAGCCGUCUCUAAAGCAUAACCUCAAAACGAUAGCGGUAAAUCAAUAAGAGACAUCAUAGAUCGCACCAUAUCUAGUAAAGUACGAUUACGACGUUCGGACACACCAUUACACUGUGGUGUUCUGGGUGGCGUGAGUUGCGAAACUAUUCUGCAUUGUGUCAAAUGUAGACCAAACUCAUAACUCAAAUACUCUCCUCCACGAUCAGAUCGUAGAAACUUUAUUUUCUUGUUACGAUGAUUUUCCACUUCACUCUGAAAUUCUUUGAACUUUUCAAAUGUUUCAGACUUAUGUUUCAUUAAGUAGAUAUACCCAUAUCUGCUCAAAUCAUCUGUGAAGGUGAGAAAAUAACGAUACCCGCCGCGAGCCUCAACAUUCGUCGGACCACAUAUAUCAGUAUGUAUGAUCUCCAACAAAUCUGUUGCUCGCUCCAUUGUUCCGGAGAACGGCAUCUUAGUCAUCUUGCCCAUAAGGUAUGGUUCGCAAGUACCAAGUGAUUCAUAAUCAAGUGAUUCCAAUAGUCCAUCAGUAUGGAGUUUCUUCACGCGCUUUACACCAAUAUGACCCAAACGGCAGUGCCACAAAUAAGUUGCAAUAUCAUUAUCAACUCUGCAUCUUUUGGCUUCAACAUUAUGAAUAUGUGUAUCACUAUUAUCGAGAUUCAACAAAAAUAGACCACUCUUCAAGGGUGCAUGACCAUAAAAGAUAUUACUCAUAUAAAUAGAACAACCAUUAUUCUCAGAUUUAAAUGAAUAACCGUCUCGCAUCAAACAAGAUCCAGAUAUAAUGUUCAUGCUUAACGCUGGCACCAAAUAACAAUUAUUUAGGUCUAAAACUAAUCCCGAAGGUAGAUGUAGAGGUAGCGUGCCGACAGCGAUCACAUCGACUUUGGAGCCAUUUCCCACGCGCAUCGUCACCUCGUCCUUAGCCAGUCUUCGCUUAAUCCGUAGUCCCUGUUCCGAGUUGCAAAUAUUAGCAACAGAACCAGUAUCAACUACCCAGGUGCUACUGCGAGCUCUAGUAAGGUACACAUCAAUAACAUGUAUAUCACAUAUACCUUUGUUCACCUUGCCAUCCUUCUUAUCCGCCAAAUACUUGGGGCAGUUCCGCUUCCAGUGACCAGUCUGCUUGCAGUAGAAGCACUCAGUCUCAGGCUUAGGUCCAAACUUGGGUUUCUUCUCCUGAGCAGCAACUUGUUUGCUGUUCUUCUUAAAGUUCCCCUUCUUCUUCCCUUUGCCCUUUUUCUUGAAACUGGUGGUCUUGUUGACCAUCAACACUUGAUGCUCCUUCUUGAUUUCUACCUCCGCAGCCUUUAGUAUUGCGAAGAGCUCGGGAAUUGUCUUAUCCAUCCCUUGCAUAUUAUAGUUCAUCACGAAGCUCUUGUAGCUUGGUGGCAGUGAUUGAAGAAUUCUGUCAAUGACACUAUCAUCCGGAAGAUUAACUCCCAGUUGAAUCAAGUGAUUGUUAUACCCAGACAUUUUGAGUAUAUGUUCACUGACAGAACUAUUUUCCUCCAUCUUGCAGCUGUAGAACUUAUUGGAGACUUCAUAUCACUCAAUCCGGGCAUUUGCUUGAAAUAUUAACUUCAACUCCUGGAACAUCUCAUAUGCUCCAUGAUGUUCAAAACGUCGUUGAAGUCCCGGUUCUAAGCCGUAAAGCAUGGCACACUGAACUAUCGAGUAGUCAUCAGCUUCGCUCUGCCAGACGUUCUUAACGUCGUUAGUUGCAUCUGCAGCAGGCCUGGCACCCAGCGGUGCUUCCAGGACGUAAUUCUUCUGUGCGGCAAUGAGGUUAAUCCUCAAGUUACGGACCCAGUCCGUGUAAUUGUUGGGGAACAUAGUAAUUUCAAAAAAAUUCCUACGCACACGCAAGAUCAUGGUGAUGCAUAGCAACGAGAGGGGAGAGUGUGUCCACGUACCCUCGUAUACCGAAAGCGGAAGCGUUAGCACAACGCGGUUGAUGUAGUCGUACGUCUUCACGAUCCGACCGAUCAAGUACCGAACGUACGGCACCUCCGAGUUCUGCACACGUUCAACUCGAUGACGUCCCUCGAACUCCGAUCCAGCUGAGCUUUGAGGGAGAAUUCCGUCAGCACGACGACGUGGUGACGGUGAUGAUGUUGCUACCGACGCAGGGCUUCGCCUAAGCACCGCUACGAUAUGAUCGAGGUGGAUUAUGGUGGAGGGGGGCACCGCACACGCCUAGGAGAUCAAGAGAUCAAUUGUUGUGUCUCCAAGGGGUGCCCCCUCCCUGUAUAUAAAGGAGUGGAGGAGGGGGAGGGCCGGCCCUCUCUAUGGCGCGCCCUAGGGGAGUCCUACUCCCACCGGGAGUAGGAUUCCCCUUUUCCUAGUAGAACUAGGAGCCCUUCCAAGUUGUAGGAGUAGGAGAGAAGGAAAGAGGGGGAGAGGGAGAAGGAAAAGGGGGCUGCACCCCUUGUCCAAUUUGGACUAGAGGGGGGCGUGAUACGUCUCCGUCGUAUCUAUAAUUUUUGAUUGUUCCAUGCCAAUAUUAUACAACUUUCAUAUACUUUUGGCAACUUUUUAUAUUAUUUUUGGGACUAACAUAUUGAUCCAAUGCCCAGUGCCAGUUCCUGUUUGUUGCAUGUUUUAUGUUUGUAGAAACCCCAUAUCAAAUGGAAUCCAAACGGAAUUAAAACGGACGGAGAAUAUUUUUGGAAUAUUUGGAGAAUAUGGGAAGAAGAAUCAACGCGAGACGGUGUCCGAGGGGGGCACGAGGCAGGGGGGUGCGCCUGCCCCCCUCGUGGGCCCCCCGUAAGGUGAUUAGUGCUCUUCUUUGGCAACAAGAAAGCUAAUUUUUGGAGAAAAAUCUCAGCGAAGGUUUCAAUCCAAUUGGAGUUACGGAUCUCCAUAUAUAUACGAAACGGUGAAAGGGCAGAAUACCGGAGCGCAGAAACAGAGAGAGACAGAGAGACAGAUCCAAUCUCGGAGGGGCUCACGCCCCUCCCACGCCAUGGAGACCAUGGACCAGAAGGGAAACCUUUCUCCCAUCUAGGGAGAAGGUCAAGGAAGAAGAAGAAGGAGGGGGGCUCUCUCCCCCUUGCUUCCGGUGCCGCCGGAACGCCGCCGGGGGCCAUCAUCAUCACCGCGAUCAACACCAACACCUCCGCCAUCUUCACCAAAAUCUCCAUCACCUUCCUCCCUCUAUCUACAGUGGUCCACUCUCCCGCAACCCGCUGUACCCUCUACUUGAACAUGGUGCUUUAUGCUUCAUAUUAUUAUCCAAUGAUGUGUUGCCAUCCUAUGAUGUCUGAGUAGAUUUUCGUUGUCCUGUCGGUGGUUGAUGAAUUGCUAUGAUUGAUUUAAUUUGCUUGUGGUUAUGUUGCUGUCCUUUGGUGCCCAUCAUAUGAGCGCGCGCGUGGAUCACACCAUAGGGUUAGUUGUAUGUUGAUAGGACUAUGUAUUGGAGGGCAAGAGCGACAGAAGCUUCAACCUAGCAUAGAAAUUGAUGCAUACGGGAUUGAAGGGGGAACAAUAUAUCUUAAUGCUAUGGUUGGGUUUUACCUUAAUGAACGUUAGUAGUUGCGGAUGCUUGCUAAUAGUUCCAAUCAUAAGUGCAUAGAAUUCCAAGUCAGGGAUGACAUGCUAGCAGUGGCCUCUCCCACAUAAAACUUGCUACCGGUCUAGUAAAGUAGUCAAUUGCUUAGGGACAAUUUCGCAACUCCUACCACCACUUUUCCACACUCGCUAUAUUUAGUUUAUUGCUUCUUUAUCUAAACAACCCCUACUUUUUAUUUAUGCACUCUUUAUUAUCUUGCAAACCUAUCCAACAACACCUACAAAGUACUUCUAGUUUCAUACUUGUUCUAGGUAAACCGAACGUCAAGCGUGCUUAGAGUUGCAUCGGUGGUCGCUAGAACUUGAGGGAAUAUUUGUUCUACCUUUAGCUCCUCAUUGGGUUCGACACUCUUACUUAUCGAAAGAGGCUACAAUUGAUCCCCUAUACUUGUGGGUUAUCAAGACCUUUUUCUGGCGCCGUUGCCGGGGAGUUAUAGCGUGGGGUGAAUAUUCUCGUGUGUGCUUGUUUGCUUUAUCACUAAGUAAUUUUUAUUUGCUGUUCUUAGUUGUUUUCUAUCUUUAGUUAUGGGUAGGAAACGCAAAAUACCAAAAAAAUUAGUUGUACCUACUGAACCAAUGGUUGAAGAACCACUCAAAAUCUAUCACACUCCUGAAGCUUUUUACUUGGAUCAUCUUCGAUCCCUAUGUGCUCGUGCUGAAACCCCAACUAGCUUAGUUGAGGGCAAAUCCUUAGAUGAGCAUGCUUGUUAUGUGCAACACCACAUAUCUGAAAAAGGGAAACGUUUACUGGAUCAAAUUCAUCGUUUGCAAUGCUAUGCUUGGAAUUUAUGUGAAAUAUAUUAUUUUACUUGUUGUUCUGAAAACCCUAAGAAACACCUUCCUUAUCAAUGUGAGUUUAGUGAUAAUGGAAUCAUAUCUUCGUAUGCUAAGGGUGUUUAUAAUUACUAUGUUGUUCAACAAAUUGAAGAAUUUGUUGCUUUUAAGGGUGCUUAUGAAAUUGCUUCUUUGAUUGAAAAGUAUGAUGCUACUCUUUACAAAUCUGAAAAUUUUGCCAUACUUGAAUAUUGUCAUGAGAAUUAUGCUUCUAAUGCCUAUGUUAAACCAUAUAUCGAGGUCUCCUCCGCUGUCCAAGAAGAGACUAGUAUUUUGCAGGAGUCUAUGGAAGAAGAAAUUGAUGAAACUGUGAGCUCAUUGGAUGAAAAAGAUGAUGAGGAGAGCGAAGAACAAAAGUAGGAAGAGCGGAUUAGCUACCCGUGCCCACCUUCUAAUGAGAGUAACUCUUCAACUCAUACAUUUUUUAAUUUCCCUUCGUGCUUACCGAAGGAUGAUUGCUAUGAUGAUUGUUAUGAUCCCGUUGAUUCUUUUGAAAUAUCCCUUUUUGAUGAUGCUUGCUAUGCUUGUGGCCAUGAUGCCAAUAUGACUGAUGCUUAUGGAGAUGAACUUUGGUAUAGUUCCUUAUGUUAAAGAUGAAAUUGUUGCUAUUGCACCCACGCAUGAUAGUCCUAUUAUCUUUUUGAAUUCUCCAAACUACACUAUAUCGGAGAAGUUUGCUCUUAUUAAGCAUUAUAUUGAUGGGUUGCUUUUACUAUUACACAUGAUGAUUCUGAUAGAUAUAAUAUGCAUGUGCUUGCUGAUCCUACUUGCAAUUAUUAUGAGAGAGGAACUAUAUCUCCACCUCUCUAUGUUUCCAACAUGGUAAAAUUGCAAGGAACUGUUUAUACUAUGCAUUGGCCUUUAAUAUGUGUGCAUGAAUUGUUCUUUUAUGACAUGCCGAUGCAUAGGAAGAGAGUUAGACUUCGUUGUUGCUUGAUAUAUGUUACUUUGUACUCACUACUAAAUUACAAAUCAUUGUUAAUUAAAAUUGGCUUUGAUAUACCUUGGGAUCCGGGUGGAUUCACUACUUGAGCACUAUAUGCCUAGCUUAAUGGCUUUAAAGAAAGCGCUGCCAGGGAGACAACCCGGAAGUUUUAGAGAGUCAUUUAUUUCUGUUGAGUGCUUUUAUAUAGUUUAAAUACAAAAAAUAAAAUAAAGAGGGGAACCCAAAACUUUUUCAAAAAGGAAAGUGAAAGUGAGAGAGACAAGCAUUGUUGAAGUGGGAGCUAGCCUUGAACUUUGUUCAUGCUCACGGAAACUUUGCGAAUCUUGAUUACAGAAACUUUUCAACAAAAAUAAUUAUCCCGUUGUACAAUUCCAUUGUUUUAUAAAAAUAAUGUGCCAAGGUUUGCCUUUAGGAUGUUUACAAUGCUUGUUGGUUUGUACGGUGCAGGACAGAAACUUUGGCUGUAGUGCGUGAUGUUUUAUUUUUUACUGGAACGUCAAACGGUUCUGAUUCUUUUUGUACUGUAUUUCUAUACAAAUUGUUUAUUUUUCCUAAUUUUGGCAGAAUUUUUCAAGUAUCAGAAGUAUGGUGAAUGUUCAGAUUGCUACAGACUGUUCUGUUUUUGACAGAUUCUGUUUUUGAUGCAUAGUUUGCUUGUUUUGAUGAAACUAUCAAUUUAUAUCAGUGGAUUAAGCCAUGGAAAAGUUAUAUUACAGUAUCUACAAUGCAAAAAUAAAAUAUUAAUUGGUUUUCAACAGUACUUAGAUUAGUGAUUUGCUUUAUUAUACUAACGGAUCUUACAGAGUUUUCUGUUGAAGUUUUGUGUGGAUGAAGUGUUCGAUGAUCGAGAAGGUCUCGAUGUGAGAAGAAGGAAGAGAGGCAAGAGCUCAAGCUUGGGGAUGCCCGAGGCACCCCAAGUAAAUAUUCAAGGAGACUCAAGCGUCUAAGCUUGGGGAUGCCCCGGAAGGCAUCCCAUCUUUCUUCAACAAAUAUCGGUAUGUUUUCGGAUUCGUUUUGUUCAUGCGAUAUGUGCAAAUCUUGGAGCGUCUUUUGCAUUUAGUUUUCAUUUUUCUUUUAUGCACCAUGCUGGUAUGGAUAGUCCUUGGUUGAUUUAUAGAAUGCUCAUUGCACUUCACUUAUAUCUUUUGAGUAUGGCUUUAUAGAAUGCUUCAUGUGCUUCACUUAUAUCAUUUGAAGUUUGGAUUGCCUGUUUUUAUUUACAUAGAAAACUGCCAUUUGUAGAAUGCUAUUUUGCUUCACUUAUACUUGUUAGAGCAUGGGCAUAUAUUUUGUAGAAAUAAUUAAACUCUCUUGCUUCACUUAUAUCUAUUUAGAGAGAUGACAGGAACUGGUCAUUCACAUGGUUAGUCAUAAAAUCCUACAUAAAACUUGUAGAUCACUGAAUAUGAUAUGUUUGAUUCCUUGCAAUAGUUUUGCGAGAAGAUGGUGAUAUUAGAGUCAUGCUAGUGGGUAGUUGUGGAUUGUAGAAAUACUUGUGUUGAGGAUUGUCAUUCCCAUAGCAUGCACAUAUGGUGAACUGUUAUGUAACGAAGUUGGAGCAUGAGGUAUUUAUUGAUUGUCUUCCUUAUGAGUGGCGGUCGGGGACGAGCGAUGGUCUUUUCCUACCAAUCUAUCCCCCUAGGGGCAUGCGUAGUAGUACUUUGCUUCGAGGGCUAAUAAACUUUUGCAAUAAGUAUAUGAGUUCUUUAUGACUAAUGUGAGUCCAUGGAUUAUACGCACUCUCACCCUUCCAUCAUUGCUAGCCUCUUCGGUACCGUGCAUUGCCCUUUCUCACCUCAAGAGUUGGUGCAAACUUCGCCGGUGCAUCCAAACCCCGUGAUAUGAUAUGCUAUGUCACACAUAAGCCUCAUUAUAUCUUCCUCAAAACAGCCACCAUACCUACCUAUCAUGGCAUUUCCAUAGCCAUUCCGAGAUAUAUUGCCAUGCAACUUCCAUCAUCAUCAUAUACAUGACUUGAGCAUUUAUUGUCAUAUUGCUUUGCAUGAUCGUAAGAUAGCUAGCAUGAUGUUUUCAUGACUUGUCCGUUUUUUGAUGUCAUUGCUACGCUAGAUCAUUGCACAUCCCGGUACACCGCCGGAGGCAUUCAUAUAGAGUCAUAUCUUUGUUCUAGUAUCGAGUUGUAAUAUUGAGUUGUAAGUAAAUAAAAGUGUGAUGAUCAUCAUUAUUAGAGCAUUGCCCCCCCCCCCAAAAGAGGAGAGGCCAAAGAAGCCUAAAUAAAAAAAGGGGGGCCAAAGAAGCCCGCAAAAAAAAGAAAAAAAUAAUAAUAUAAAAAGGGGCAAUGUUACUAUCCUUUUACCACACUUGUGCUUCAGAGUAGCACCAUGUUCUUCAUAUAGAGAGUCUCUUGAGUUUUCAUAUACUAGUGGGAAUUUUCAUUAUAGAACUUGGCUUGUAUAUUCCAACGAUGGGCUUCCACAAAUGCCCUAGGUCUUCAUGAGCAAGCAAGUUGGAUGCACACCCACUUAGUUUCCAGUUUGAGAUUUCAUACACUUAUAGCUCUUACUGCAUCCGUUGCAUGGCAAUCCCUACUCCUUAUAUUGACAUAAAUUGAUGGGCAUCUCCAUAGCCCGUUGAUUAGCCGCGUCGAUGUGAGACUUUCUCCUUUUUUGUCUUCUCCACACAACCUCCAUCAUCAUAUUCUAUUCCACCCAUAGUGCUAUGUCCAUGGCUCACGCUCAUGUAUUGCGUGAGGGUUGAAAAGGCUGAAGCGCGUUAAAAAGUAUGAACCAAUUGCUCGGCUUGUCAUCGGGGUUGUGCAUGAUUUGAAUAUUUCGUGUGGUGAAGAUGGAGCAUAGCCAGACUAUAUGAUUUUGUAGGGAUAACUUUCUUUGGCCUUGUUAUUUUGAAAAGACAUGAUUGCUUUAUUAGUAUGCUUGAAGUAUUAUUGUUUUUAUGUCAAAUGAUAGACUAUUGCUUUGAAUCACUCGUGUCUUAAUAUUCAUGCCAUUAUUAGAUACAUGAUCAAGAUUAUGCUAGGUAGCAUUCCACAUGAAAAAUUAUCUUUUUUAUCAUUUACCUACUCGAGGACGAGCAGGAAUUAAGCUUGGGGAUGCUGAUACGUCUCCGUCGUAUCUAUAAUUUUUUAUUGUUCCAUGCCAAUAUUAUAUAACUUCCAUAUACUUUUGGCAACCUUUUAUAUUAUUUUUGGGACUAACAUAUUGAUCCAGUGCCCAGUGCCAGUUCCUGUUUGUUGCAUGUUUUAUGUUUCGCAGAAACCCCAUAUCAAACGGAAUUCAACCGGAAUAAAAACGGACGGAGAAUAUUUGGAGAAUAUGGGAAGAAGAAUCAACGCGAGACGGUGUCCGAGGGGGGCAAGGCAGGGGGUCGCGCCUGCCCCCCUCGUGGGCCCCCCGUAAGGCAGUUACUGCUCUUCUUUGGCGGCAAGAAAGCUAAUUUUCGGGAAAAAAAAUCUCAGCGAAGGUUUCAAUCCAAUCGGAGUUACGGAUCUCCAUAUAUAUACGAAACGGUGAAAGGGCAGACGGAGCGCAGAAACAGAGAGAGAUAGAGAGACAGAUCCAAUCUCGAAGGGGCUCUCGCCCCUCCCACGCCAUGGAGACCAUGGACCAGAGGGAAACCCUUCUCCCAUCUAGGGAGAAGGUCAAGGAAGAAGAAGAAGGAGGGGGCUCACUCCCCCUUGCUUCCGGUGGUGCCAGAACGCUGCCAGGGGCCAUCAUCAUCACCGCGAUCUACACCAACACCUCCGCCAUCUUCACCAACAUCUCCAUCACCUUCCCCCCUCUAUCUACAACGGUCCACUCUCCCGCAACCCGCUGUACCCUCUACUUGAACAUGGUGCUUUAUGCUUCAUAUUAUUAUCCAAUGAUGUGUUGCCAUCCUAUGAUGUCUGAGUAGAUUUUCGUUUUCCUAUCGGUGGUUGAUGAAUUGCUAUGAUUGAUUUAAUUUUCUUGUGGUUAUGUUGCUGUCCUUUGGUGCCCAUCAUAUGAGCGCGCGCGUGGAUCACACCAUAGUGUUAGUUGUAUGUUGAUAGGACUAUGUAUUGGAGGGCAAGAGCGACAGAAGCUUCAACCUAGCAUAGAAAUUGAUGCAUACGGGAUUGAAGGGGGACCAAUAUAUCUUAAUGCUAUGGUUGGGCUUUACCUUAAUGAACGUUAGUAGUUGCAGAUGCUUGCUAAUCGUUCCAAUCAUAAGUGCAUAGAAUUCCAAGUCAGGGAUGACAUGCUAGCAGUGGCCUCUCCCACAUAAAACUUGCUAUCGGUCUAGUAAAGUAGUCAAUUGCUUAGGGACAAUUUCGCAACUCCUACCACCACUUUUCCACACUCGCUAUAUUUAAUUUAUUGCUUCUUUAUCUAAACAGCCCCUACUUUUUAUUUAUGCACUCUUUAUUAUCUUGCAAACCUAUCCAACAACACCUACAAAGUACUUCUAGUUUAUACUUGUUCUAGGUAAAGCGAACGUCAAGCGUGCGUAGAGUUGUAUCAGUGGUCGCUAGAACUUGAGGGAAUAUUUGUUCUACCUUUAGCUCCUCGUUGGGUUCGACACUCUUACUUAUCGAAAGAGGCUACAAUUGAUCCCCUAUACUUGUGGGUUAUCAAGACCUUUUUCUAGAAAAGAGUCUUGAUGACCCACAGGUAUAGGGGAUCUAUCGUCGUCCUUUCGAUAAGUAAGAGUGUCGAACCCAACGAGGAGCAGAAGGAAAUGAUAAGCGGUUUUCAGCAAGGUAUUCUCUGCAAGCACUGAAAUUAUAGGUAACAGAUAGUUUUGUGAUAAGAUAAUUUGUAACGAGCAACAAGUAACAAAAGUAAAUAAAGUGCAGCAAGGUGGCCCAAUCCUUUUUGUAGCAAAGGACAAGCCUGGACAAACUCUUACAUAGAGGAAAGCGCUCCCGAGGACACAUGGGAAUUAUCGUCAAGCUAGUUUUCAUCACGUUCAUAUGAUUCGCGUUCGGUACUUUGAUAAUUUGAUAUGUGGGUGGACCGGUGCUUGGGUGCUGUCCUUACUUGGACAAGCAUCCCACUUAUGAUUAACCCCUAUUGCAAGCAUCCGCAACUAAAAAAGAAGUGUUAAGGUAAACCUAACCAUAGCAUGAAAUAUAUGGAUCCAAAUCAGCCCCUUACGAAGCAACGCAUAAACUAGGGUUUAAGCUUGUCACUCUAGCAAACCAUCAUCUACUUAUUACUUCCCAAUGCCUUCCUCUAGGCCCAAACAAUGGUGAAGUGUCAUGUAGUCGACGUUCACAUAACACCCCUAGAGGAGAGACAACAUACAUCUCAUCAAAAUAUCGAACGAAUACCAAAUUCACAUGACUACUAUAGCAAGACUUCUCCCAUGUCCUCAGGAACAAACGUAACUACUCACAAAUCAUAUUCAUGUUCAUAAUCAGAGGGGUAUUAAUAUGCAUAUAGGAUCUGAACAUAUGAUCUUCCACCAAAUAAACCAACUAGCAUCAACUACAAGGAGUAAUCAACACUACUAGCAACCUACAGGUACCAAUCCCAGACUUAGAGACAAGAAUUGGAUACAAGAGAUGAACUAGGGUUUGAGAGGAGAUGGUGCUGGUGAAGAUGUUGAUGGAGAUUGGCCCCCUCCCGAUGAGAGGAGUGUUGGUGAUGACGAUGGCGAUGAUUUUCCCCUCCCGGAGGGAAGUUUCCCCGGUAGAACAGCUCCGCCAGAGCCCUAGAUUGGUUCUGCCAAGGUUCCGCCUCGUGGCGGCGGAGUCUCGUCCCGAAAGCUUGCUUAUGAUUUUUUCUCGGACGAAAGACUUCAUAUAGCAGAAGAUGGGCACCGGAGGGCCACUAGGGGGCCCACGAGGCACGGGGCGCGCCCAGGGGGUAGGGCGCGCCCCCACCCUCGUGGCCAGGGUGUGGGCCCCCUAUGGUAUUUUCUUCGCUCAGUAUUUUUUAUUAUUUCCAAAAACAACUUCCGUGGAGUUUCAGGACUUUUGGAGUUGUGCAGAAUAGGUCUCUAAUAUUUGCUCCUUUUCCAGCCCAGAAUUCCAGCUGCCGGCAUUCUCCCUCUUUAUGUAAUCCUUGUAAAAUAAGAGAGAAUAUGCAUAAGUAUUGUGACAAAACGUGUAAUAACAGCUCAUAAUGCAAUAAAUAUCGAUAUAAAAGCAUGAUGCAAAAUGGACGUAUCAACUCCCCCAAGCUUAGACCUCGCUUGUCCUCAAGCGGAAGCCGAUAACGAUAAAUAUGUCCACAUGUUUAGAGGUAGAGGUGUCGAUAAAAUAAAAUACGGACAUGAGGGCAUCAUGAUCAUUCUUAUAACAACAACAUAUAUGGAUAUUGUCAUAUGAUUUCUUAUGCUCAUGUAAUAAUCUAUUCACAAUGUCAAGUAUGAAUCAGAAACUUCAUUGAGAACCAACAAACUAUAAUCUCAGUCAUUGAAGCAAUUGCAAUUUAUCAUAACAUCCGAAAGAGUCUAUGUCAGAGCUUUUCAGCAAGCCCACAUACUCAACUAUCAUUUAAUCUUUCAUAAUUGCUAACACUCACGCAAUACUUGUGGUUACGGAGUUUUAAUCGGACACAGAGAAAGAUAGGGGCUUAUAGUUUCGCCCCCAACCUUUUACCUCAAGGGUAAUGUCAACAAUAAUAGUUCAUGCUAACUUACAUCCAAUUAGAUAUAUAUAUUGGGAUCUUUCCAACACACUGUGCUUGCCAAAGGAUAAAAUGUAAAAAGGAAAGGUGAAGAUCACCAUGACUCUUGCAUAAGGUAGAAGAUAAAAGUAAAAUAUAGGCCCUUCGCAGAGGGAAGCAGAGGUUGCCAUGUGAUUUCAGGGUUGGAUGCACAAAAUCUUAAUGCAAAAGAACGUCACUUUAUAUUGCCACUUGUGAUAUGGACCUUUAUUAUGCAGUCCGUCACUUUUAUUUCUUCCACAUCACAAGAUCGUACAAAGCUUAUUUCCUCCACACUAAUCAAUCAUACAUAUUUAGAGAGCAUUUUAUUAUUGCUUGCACCGAUGACAACUUACUUGAAGGAUCUUACUCAAUCCAUAGGUAGAUAUGGUGGACUCUCAUGGCAAAACCGGGUUUAAGGGUAUUUGGAAGCACAAGUAGUAUCUCUACUUGGUGCAUAGAAUUUGGCUAGCAUGAGAGAGAAAGGCAAUCUCAACAUGUUGGAUGAUCCAUGACAAUAUACUUUAUUUCAGAUAUAAGAAAACAUAACCCAUUACGUUGUCUUCCUUGUCCAACAUCAACUCUUUAGCAUGUCAUAUUUUAAUGAGUGCUCACAAUCAUAAAAGAUGUCCAAGAUAGUAUAUUUAUAUGUGAAACCUCUCUUUCUUUAUUACUUCCUAUUAAUUGCAACGAUGACCAAAACUAUGUUUGUCAACUUUCAACAACUUUUAAUCAUCAUACUCUUUCUAUGUGAAGUCAUUACUCUCCAUAAGAUCAAUAUGAUCUCUUUUUAUUUCUUUUUAUUCUUUCUCUUUUCUUUUAUUCACUCAAGAUCAUAGCAAGAUAAUCAAGCCCUUGACUCAACACUAAUCUUUAUUAUAUAGCUCACGGACUCGAUUACAUAGAGGGAUCAUAAAGCAAAACUCAAAACUAAAUCAUACCAAAACUUUAUUCUACUAGAUCAAGAUAUUACUAAAAGGAUCGAACUAAGAAAAAUGGUAAAGAUAGAGAUGUGAUGGUGAUACGAUACCGGGGCACCUCCCCCAAGCUUGGCAGUUGCCAAGGGGAGUGCCCAUACCCAUAUGAUUAUGUCUCCUUUGCUGGUGAAGGGGUUGUUGAUGAUGUAGGCUUGUCAUCUAUCUUCCAAGGCAUAGGCUCACUAUCAUAGAAGGAUGAACGAGUCUCCGGGAUCCUCAAAUCUGCAGCCAAACUCAUCCUCUUGAAUCUAUAUUCAUACUCACAGUUUUGGUUUUGCAGGUCAUAGAUCUGGGCUUGGAGAUGCUCGAUUUUUCUCGUGAAGCUUGAAGAUGGCCUCCCCAAUGUCCUUGGCGUCCAGCUUGUGGUUGUUGGUGAACCCCGUGAUCAUAAUGUGAUUGGAGUCAAGUCCACGCUCCACCAUCUCCUGGCACUUGAAAACUUGUUGCUCCAUUGCCUCAAGCCUUGUCUCCACGCUUCCGGUCCUCCUUGGUCCGUCAACAUCGCGGAUGUGCAGCACCCCCUCAUGCAUCUCAAUGGUUUGAGGAUGUUGCAGCACUUCCGCGAGGUAGGGGUUGAUGACCUUCUCGAAGAACUUGUCCUUGGGGGCACUUGGAGACGUCAUGAUGAUCUAGAUCUGUCAGAAAAAUAGCUCGAAACAAGAACAAAGGACAAUUGCGUGAUACGGUGGUCAAAACCUUCGGGAGAUUAUAUAAUGAACUUUUACCGACCAAAAUACGUAUCGUGCAAGAAAACGGAGUUCGGAGAGCACACGGGGUGCUCACGAGGCUGGGGGGCGCGCCCAUGGGGGGUAGGGCGCGCCCUCCACCCUCGUGGAGCCCUCGUGUCCUUCCCGGACUGCUUUUUUUUGUCUAAAUAUUCCAAAACGGAGAAAAAUUGCCAUUAGAACUGUUUUGGAGUCGGUUUACUUACUGUACCACAUACCUAUUCCUUUUCGGAGUCUGAAACGUUCUCGAAAGUGUCUCUUAUGUAUUCCUCCGGUGUUACGGUUUCAAUAACAUUGGUUUCAACAUUUAUAGGAUUACCUGAGAUAUAAUGUUUGAUUCUUUGACCGUUCACCACCUUCGGAUUUGUGCCUUCGAAGUUGUCGAUUUUUAUGGCACCGGAACGAUAGACCUCCUCGAUAACAUAAGGACCUUCCCAUUUAGAGAGAAGUUUUCCUACAAAAAAUCUUAAACGAGAGUUGUAUAGCAAUACAUAAUCACCUACAUUAAACUCACGCUUUUGUAUUCUUUUGUCAUGCCAUCUUUUAACUUUUUCUUUGAACGACUUGGCAUCCUCAUAGGCUUGGGUUCUCCAUUCAUCAAGUGAGCUAAUGUCAAAUAACCUCUUCUCACCGGCAAGUUUGAAAUCAUAGUUGAGCUCUUUAAUGGCCCAGUAUGCCUUAUGUUCUAGUUCGAGAGGUAAGUGACAUGCUUUUCCAUAAACCAUUUUAUACGGAGACAUACCCAUAAGAUUUUUAUAUGCAGUUCUAUAGGGCCAUAAUGCAUCAUCAAGUUUCUUGGACCAAUUCUUUCUAGAUCUAUUAACAGUCUUUUGCAAAAUUAAUUUGAGUUCUCUAUUACUCAAUUCUACUUGACCACUAGACUGUGGGUGAUAUGGAGAUGCAAUUCUAUGAUUAACGUCAUAUUUAGCGAGCAUUUUACGGAAAGCACCAUGAAUAAAGUGUGAUCCACCAUCAGUCAUUAAAUAUCUAGGGACUCCAAACCUCGGAAAAAUAACUUCUUUAAGCAUCUUAAUAGAAGUGUUAUGAUCAGCACUACUAGUUGGAAUAGCUUCUACCCACUUAGUAACGUAAUCGACAACAACUAAAAUAUGAGUAUACACAUUAGAGGCAGGAAACGGUCCCAUAUAAUCAAAGCCCCAAACAUCAAAUGGUUCAAUAACAAGUGAAUAAUUCAUAGGCAUUUCUUGACGUCUACUAAUAUUACCAAUUCUUUGACAUUCAUCACAAGAUAAGACAAACUUACGAGCAUCCUUGAAGAGAGUAGGCCAAUAAAAACCAGAUUGCAAUACCUUAUGUGCAGUUCUAUCUCCAGCGUGGUGUCCUCCAUAAGCUUCGGAGUGACACUUGCGUAGGAUCUGUUCCUAUUCAUGCUCAGGUACACAACGUCUAAUAACACCAUCUACUCCUUCUUUAUAAAGAUGUGGGUCAUCCCAGAAGUAAUGUCUUAAAUCAUAGAAAAACUUUUUCUUUUGUUGGUAUGUGAAACUAGGCGGUAUAAAUUUAGCAACAAUGUAAUUAGAAUAAUCAACAUACCAUGGAGUAGUAUGAGAAGCAUUUAUGACAUUUAAUUGUUCAUCAGGAAAGCUAUCAUCAAUAGGUAGUGGGUCAUCAAGAACAUUCUCUAACCUAGACAAGUUUUCUGCAACGGGGUUCUCAGCUCCCUUUCUAUCAAUAAUAUGCAAAUCAAAUUCUUGUAGCAAGAGAACCCAUCUAAUAAGUCUAGGUUUAGCAUCUUUCUUUUCCAUAAGAUAUUUAAUAGCAGCAUGAUCAGUGUGAAUAGUUACUUUAGAAUCAACAAUAUAAGGUCUGAACUUAUCACAAGCAAAUACGACUGCUAAGAAUUCUUUUUCAGUAGUAGCAUAAUUUCUCUGGGCAUUGUCUAGAGUUUUACUAGCAUAUUGAAUAACAUUUAAUUUCUUAUCAACUCUUUGCCCUAGAACAGCACCUACAGCAUAAUCACUAGCAUCACACAUAAUUUCAAAGGGUAAGUUCCAAUUAGGUGGCUGAACAAUAGGUGCAGAAAUCAAUGCUUUCUUAAGUAUUUCAAAUGCUACUACACAAUCAUCAUCAAAGACAAAUGGUAUAUCUUUUUGCAAUAGAUUAGUCAGGGGCCGAGAGAUUUUUGAGAAGUCCUUAAUGAACCUCCUAUAAAAACUGGCAUGACCAAGGAAACUUCUUAUACCUUUGAUGUCCUUGGGACAUGGCAUCUUUUCAAUAGCAUCAACUUUAGCUUUAUCAACUUCAAUGCCUCUUUCAGAAAUUUUAUGCCCCAACACAAUGCCUUCAUUAACCAUAAAGUGGCACUUUUCCCAAUUCAAGACAAGAUUAGUUUCUUCACAUCUCUGCAAAACUCAAUCAAGGUUGCUCAAACAAUCAUCAAAAGAGGAUCCAUAAACGGAGAAAUCGUCCAUGAAAACUUCACAGAUCUUUUCACAAAAGUCAGAGAAUAUAGCCAUCAUGCAUCUUUGAAAGGUAGCAGGUGCAUUACAUAAACCAAAAGGCAUACGUCUAUAAGCAAAAGUACCGAAAGGGCAAGUAAAAGUGGUCUUUGCUUGAUCAUCAGCUGAUACAGGUAUUUAAGAGAAACCAGAGUAACCAUCUAGAAAGCAAAAAUGUUUAUGUUUGGAUAAUCUUUCUAGCAUUUGAUCAAUAAAAGGUAAGGGGUAAUGAUCUUUUUAGUAGCUUUAUUUAAUUUGCGGAAAUCAAUUACCAUCCUAUAACCUGUAAUAAUUCUUUGCGGAAUCAAUUCAUCUUUAUCAUUUGGAACGACAGUAAUACGUCCCUUCUUAGGAACACAAUGGACAUGACUUACCCACUGACUAUCAGCAACGGGAUAAAUUAUACCUGCCUCAAGGAGCUUUAGUAUUUCCUUUCUUACCACUUCUUUCAUCUUAGGAUUCAGCCGUUGUUGGUGAUCAAUAACUGGUUUGGCAUCUUUCUCCAAAUUUAUUUUGUGUUGACAUAGAGUGGGACUAAUGCCCUUAAGAUCAUCAAGAGUAUAUCCAAUAGCAGCACGGUGCUUCUUCAGAGUUUUCAAUAAUUUUUCUUCCUCCUUCUCUGAAAGGUUAGCACUAAUAAUAACAGGAUAUAUCUUCUUUUCAUCAAGAUAAGCAUAUUUAAGAGUAUCAGGUAAUGGUUUAAGCUCAAACACGGGAUCACCCUUGGGUGGAGGAGGAUCCCCUAGGAUUUCAACAGGCAAGUUGUGUUUCAGAAUAGGUCCCUGUUUAAAGAACACUUCAUCUAUUUCCCUUCUUUCAUUCAUAAACAUAUCAUUUUCAUGGUCUAGCAAAUAUUGUUCUAAAGGAUCACUAGGAGGUACGGCAAUAGAAGCAAGACCAAUAAUUUCAUCUUUACUAGGCAAUUCCUCUUCACGGUGUUGUCUACGAAAUUUAGAGAAAUUAAACUCAUGAGACAUAUCACCUAGACCAAUAGUAACAACAUCCUUUUCGCAGUCUAUCUUAGCAUUAACAGUGUUUAAGAAGGGUCUACCAAAUAUAAUGGGACAAAAGCUAUCUUGUGGAGAACCAAGAACAAGAAAAUCAGCAGGAUAUUUAGUUUUCCCACACAAGACUUCAACAUCUCUAACAAUUCCCAUGGAUGAAAUAGUAUCUCUAUUGGCAAGCUUAAUUGUAACAUCAAUUUCUUCUAACUCAGUAGGUGCAACAUCAUGCAUAAUUUCUUUGUAUAAGUCAAUAGGUAUUGCACUAGCACUAGCACCCAUGUCACAUAAGCCAUGAUAACAACGAUCUCCUAUUUUAACAGAAAUAACAGGCAUGCCUACCAUAGGUCUAUGUUUAUCUUUAGCACAAGGUUUAGCAAUUCUAGUAGUUUGAUCACAGAAAUAAAUAACAUGCCCAUUAAUAUUAUCAGCCAAGAGAUCUUUAAUAAUAGCAAUAUUAGGUUCAACUAUAACUUGCUCAGGAGGUGUAUAAGUUCUAAUAUUGCUUUUACGAACCACAGUUGAAGCUUUAGCAUGAUCCUUUAUUCUAACAGGGAAAGGUGGUUUCUCAACAUAAGCAGUAGGAACAAUAGGAUCAUUAUAAGUGAUAGUCUUUUCUUCAACUUUAAUAGGUUCAACUACUUUUACUUCUAUGGGAGGAUGAUAUUUAAACCACUUCUCCUUAGGGAGAUCAACGUGAGCAGCAAAAGAUUCACAAAAAGAAGCUACUAUCUCAGAGUCAAGUCCAUAUUUAGUGCGAAAUUUAUGGAAAACAUCGGUAUCCAUAAAAGAUUUAACACAAUCAAACUUAGGUGUAAUACCUAACUCCUUACCUUCUUCGAGGUCCCAAUCUUCUAAGUUGCGUUUAAUUCUUUCCAAUAAAUCCUAUUUGAAUUCAAUAGUCUUCAUCAUAAAAGAGCCAGCACAAGAAGUAUCGAGCAUGGUGCGAUUGUUGUCAGAAAGCUGAGCAUAAAUUUUUUGAAUAAUCAUUUCUUAUGAGAGCUCAUGAUUGGGGCAUGAAUAUAACAUUGACUUAAGCCUCCCCCAAGCUUGAGUGAUGCUUUCUCCUUCGCGAGGCCAAAAAUUAUAUAUAUAUAAUUACGAUCACAAUGAACAAGAUGCAUAGGAUAAAACUUCUGAUGAAAUUCCAAUUUCAAUCGCUUGUAGUUCCAUGAUCCCAUAUCAUCACAUAGCCUAUACCAUGUCAAUGCAUCUCCCUUCAAAGAUAAAGGGAAGACCUUCUUCUUGAUAACAUCAUCGGGCAUACCUGCAAGCUUAAAUAAUCCACAAACUUCAUCCACAUAUAUUAGGUGCUCAUCAGGAUGUAAUGUUCCAUCUUCUGCAAAAGGAUUAGCUAGCAGUUUUUCUAUCAUACCUGAAGGAAUUUCAAAGUAGACAUUUUCAUUUUUAGUAGGUUCAGUAGGUUGAGGAGCAACUCUUUGCUCUAUUGGUCGGGGUAAAGAUACCCCGAACAAGCCCCUCAGAGGAUUACUUUCCAUAGUAACAAGUGACAGUAAAUUUCAGCACACUAUAUAAUUUUUUCCACUGUUUGGGAUAUCGCUUAUCGUUAUCGUCUCGGUCGGCUGGGGAUUAGAGAUUAAUCGGAAAUCGACCGAUUAAUCGAUUUUAUCGGGCGACUAUUAAUCGGCAAGUUUUUUUCGCAAGACCUACGUUUUCAGGCACUAUUAAGGCAAAAUUGGAAAUGAUCAACAAGUGUGUUCUCCGAGCCUUUAAGACUACAUCAAUAUAUAACAACAGCACAUGUCAUGUGUCUGCAUGUUUGAAAUUCAAAUAGGACAAGAGUACAUAGAUACUACUACAAUAUUACACAAGAAAAAUUGGACAGCACUUCAACAACACAUAUUCUGUUUGGCCAUUUUCAAAUAGGGUAGCACUUAUUCAUUUAAAUAAGUAAAUAACAAGCAACAACAGGCAGAACAACGAUACAUAACUACAUAUAUGAGUGCACAAAUAAACUACAGCCAUCUCAACAUCAUGUGUACACAAGAUUGCAGUUGAUAGUCCUAGUCACCAGUCCACAAAUAAACUUAGAUAGUAGUCCACAGAUAAACUUGGAUACUGGAUAGGCAGCACAGCAGGUCCAAAAUACACAAAUCAGCAUAGCAAACUCCCAUGCCAUGUCAUCCGAGUUUCUCUUCAGUCUGGAACUUGCAACCUCUGAAGCACUGGAAG
rnacentral:lncRNA from 1 species